rnacentral:lncRNA from 1 species
UGUAUCCGUUGUUCUUGCUUCUCAGCAUCUGUCCAUUCCCCCAAACAAUCUAAACAAUUUCUAAAUGUUAAAGUGGCUUGUGAUGUAGAUGCACCAACAAUGUUGGGCCCGCCCAAUUCACAGAUGUUUUUCCACCAACCCCUUCAUCGGUUGUACUGAUUUGAAGGCCGAUCUUGCCCAACCCAUGCCAUGUCAGCCCUAAUUAAGACCGCAGCGCCAUGCUCCACACCAACUGCUAACGUGGCACCAUUGCCUUCGCACGAUUCAUCUGAAAUAAGCUAGACGGCCGGAUCCAAAGUACUCCUAAAAUUUAUAAGGGGAAUAGGGUUACAUUCCUUCCUUCGUCUCUAUCAUUCUGCAUCAUCCCUGUAGCCGCUGCUCUAUCACCACCGGCCUUUACCCAAUUUCAGUUGCUGAAAUUUCUCCGGUAAGAAGAAGAUUUCCUUUCUCGAUAUCUCUCAAAUAGAUUAUGAUUAGUUUCCUACGUGUUUUCUUCUUCUUUUUAUUUAUUAUUUUUUGAGUCGGAUCUAGAAGGUGCUCUAUUUUUUUUUUGUGCUUUUGCUUUUCUUUUCUGAUUCAAUGUGAUUUCCCGUUGUUUGGACGAUAGCUUGCAAUGCUAUCUGGCUAGGGUUUUCUAGAUCUGUUGGUUGGGAUGUAAGUGCGGUUUUGAUAAAUUUUUUUCUCGAUCCGUUGCGAUUAAGUUUGGAUUUUUUUUACUGACCCUUUUUUUAUUCGUUUGGGCGAUAAAUUUUGUCUACGAUUUUACGUUCUCGGAAACAUUAUACAGAAUAAUGUUUUUUUUUUUUUUGGUUUCAGGUCCUACUGCAAUGCUGAUCAUCAGUGAGUUACCUUCCUAUCAUACAGAAUAAUAAUAUAAUAAUAUACAGAAUAUCAACAAGAGCUUUUUUUUAAAAUUUUUUUUUUUGGGAUUUUGGUGCCGGGGGGUGUGGGGUUUAUGAUCCUCCCGUGGAAAUGUUUCUAAUCUUGGUUAGUUUGUGACUGCAGGGAAUGAAACUCUAUUCAUAGCGAGCAUUGGUUCUGCCUAUGUCUUGGUCCAGCUUGGAUUCAUGGCUUUUGAGAAGUGGUCUGGGCGAGAUAAACGGUCCAGGUUGGAGGGCCUGUACGAUGGGACUAGCAAAGGGAAAAGGGAUUAGCUGUUUGUCUAGGUUGCUAAUGGGGCGAUGAAUUGAGUUUGACAUUCUGAUACUAGUAGUGAAAGUGCUGGCAUAGAUAUAUGUAACCUCUGAGAAGUUAUCUUGAAAAUUCUUUUGAUGUCUUCAUUAUGAGAAGUUAUCUUGAAAAUUCUUUUGAUGUCUUCAUUAUGAGAAGUUAUCUUGAAAAUUCUUUUGAUGCGGCAAUAGAAAAUUUGGGCAGAAACCCAGCAAGGCGACAGGAGGCCAAGAACUUGGGCCUGCAAAAAUUUUACCAACGCUGCUUACAACGAGCAUGGCAUUGACCAUAGAAUCCCAAUAAGGAAUAGUACUUUAAUUAGUUGCUACAGCUGUUUUAUUCCUUAAAAAAAAAUCUCGUGGCUCUGUUUUAAUACAUUAAGCUAUUACAGUAGUGUGAUAUCAAGAUUAGGUAAGUUCAGCCGUCAGCUGUCACCAAAACUUGGAAACUGGAUUUUCUGUCUAAAGUCUAAACUAUGUACUCCAGUAUUAAACAAAUACUAGUAGUUCUUCAUUAUGUGACACCGCCGGGUAAUGUAUCUAAUCGAGGGAUUUUCUUUUUCACUUUUAACCAAAAUCUUACAUUGAGUGCAAUUCAAAAUUUUUGUGGUAGUAGAACUAUCAAACUUUGGAGUGAAUUUGAAGGGCCAUACCAGGAUUUUAUAUAUAUGUACUGAGACGUUUUUUUUGGCAAUCUGCCAAGAAAAAGGCGGGACAGCACAACAAUGUACAGAACCAGCACCACCAGGCUUCCUACCUACCAUGAAUGUCUCCAACCGGAGAGGUUGGAAUUGUACAUUUGCAUGCGGGUCACAUGCAACAUCACAUUUGAUUAAAGGAUCCCUUUAUUGGCCUAGCUCGUGAGGACUUAAAUGCGAUUAAUUAUCUUUAAUGCAACUUGAAAAUAUAAUACUGGUGAAACGUUCAUCAUAUGAUGAUUAUGCUCUCAUUGCAUCGCAAAAGAAUCCUCCUGUACAGUAGGAGCUACUGCUAGAUUUAUAUACUAGUAUUUAACCAAUUCUUAGUUGGUAGCCUAUUAAGAUUUUAACUUUAACUUCUUCCAUCAUCUCGGCUCUGUUUAUUUGAAUAGGUCACGGUGCUCUAGUCAAUCUUAUGACCCGGUUGCAAUUUUCUGUGCCCUUAUUUUCGAGGUACACACCAAAGAACACUGGUGCAGCAAAGAAAUUAGAUUGGAUAAUUAGAUAGUUUCAUUGUGCCAGACUCAUAAUACUUAUUCGAAUGUACCUAGUUCUUAAUGCAUUACCAUAUGUUCAAUCUAUUUUAAAAUGUACUAGAGGAAAAAAGUUAAAUUGAUAAUUUUAGAUAUAUAUAUAUAUCAGCUCUUCUUUUAAGAGAACAAAUACUACAUACUCCCUCCGUCCCACUUUGAUAGUCUUGUUUUCCUUUUUCGUCUGUCCCAAAUUGUAGUCUACUUUCCCAUUAAAAAAUGUAGUAAUCUUUCAAAUUGUCUAAAAUACCCUCAUUAAAUAUUUUGUUAUUAAUACAUUGUUAUUAAAUACUAACCCACUACAUUGAAUACAUUGAGUUUUUCCAAUACUAACCCAUUAGCUGUAACUGAUAUUAAUUGGCACUCUUCGUGAUUAGCAUAAGGGUAUUUUAGGAAAUUAUUAAUCUAAAUUUAUGUUUCCAACCAAAUUAAUUACACUUUCUUAAUCUGUGUGGAAAAAAAAAUCAAGACUAACAAAACGGGACGGAUGGAGUAUUAUUUCUUUUUUCCUUUUGGUUCUUUUUAUCGAAUUCAGUGCACUCACAAUGCUCACUUUAUUUUGUAUUCUGGAGAUGUUGAAAACAUGAAAUGCGCUCAAUCUUGAACUCCCCGAUUCUAGAGCUCUGUCAAACAUGUUUUCGAGAACAAAGAUGCUUGAAAACCACAUAUUUUGUACUGUUAAACUAAAAGUAAGGAGGAGGACUCAAUCCUUUGUGGCUCUAGGAUUAUAUGUUCAUGUACUUGCAAACGUGUAGUAGUAACUAAUGACCAUGGAAGUCAAGUCACAGGAUCUCUACUCAUUGUGUACAGACCUUAGAUGGAUACAACGUACAAUGAUGGAGGACUGCAAUUAAAGGGAAGUGGCGCUGAGAAUUGAGUCUUACGAAAAAAAAAAAGAGCGAAUUGUGCGAAAUGUCACUAAACUAUUUCAAAAUGCCGGUUCUGGUCACUAAACUUUUUUAUUAGCGCGAAAUGUCACUGAACUAGUAAAUCUAUACCGUUUUGGUCACUCCGUGUAUUUAUGCCGUUAGCAGAGACGGAAAUCAACUUUUUGAGGGGCAAAUUUGUCUGCACAACCUUUUCCUUGAAGCUUUUACAUAAUCCAUGGUUCCGUAUCCGGCAAAGACAUAAAGGAGAUGGCUGAUCUGAAUGGCGGCACCAUCAAACUUCAACCAAAAAAUGCAGGCACUAUUUUUCAAUUGGAAAUUGGUCUUUGACUCUCUGCCUCUUUUAGUUACCCACUACCCAGUCUUGAUUUCUGUAUUCUUUCACCAUUUGUAACAAAACCACAGAGCACCAGCUCCAAACGGUAAAAAUUGGAAAUUGGGAAUGAGAAAAUCUCCUUUUUUUCCUCAAGAUUUCAAAGAUUAGGCAAUGAGAAAAUCUCCCAUCUCAGAGAAGUUUCAUCCACGUAUGCUCUCAGCUUUGGAUUAUCGGAAUCCAAGUGUAUACUCUCAGCUUUGGACGUCCACGUGUCACGAAAUUAACCCAAGGGCUUGUCCUGAUUCAAUUGCCCUCGGGGCUGAUACUUAAUCCUAAAACCAUGCGCUCUCGGCCACAAUUUAGAUUUGCAACUCUUGCGUUGCCUCACCUGAGCUGACGCUAAUUUGGCACUAAUUUGGGGAGUGGGAGCGUGGGAGGAAAUUUUAUUUGAAAAUGGUGGCAGGCAUCAAUUUGACCUCGCCGAAGUCCACUUUAUUGCCAAAUCAUUCAUCUUCAGGAGAAUCAAACACUACUGCUUUCCUUGGUGGGUCACCUUUAAAUGGCUUAUCUUUUCAAUUAAAACCCAAAGUAAUCAAGAAUGUCAAUUUGAUAGUUGCUUCCGGAAAAGCCAUCAGCAGCACGAGUGGUAGCAGUGGCGGAAGGUUCUACUUCAAUAUCACUGGGUUUCCUUUCCCUCUUGGUCCUUUCCUGAAUAGGCGGACAAUCAGAACUGAGGUUAGUAAUUUGCGCCCUCGUUUUUUCAGUCCUGGCUCUUGACCUUUCUGCAUCAGAGCAAUAAUCCUGUCUAGUUGAAUUUCUGCUUUGCUGCCGUUUUUCUUGUGGGUUAGUUUCAUGAGUCCUGUGCAUAUACUGUCCAUCGAUCAUCCAAUGAAAGGUUAGUUUCGUGCUCUUGACCGAUAAAGGGUAAGUAAUGAUAAAUAAUGUAAGGAAAGGUAAGUAAUGAUAAAGGGUGUUCUUUGUUACAAAUGGUGAAAGAGGGAGGAGGAGGAAGAAGAAAGAAAAAGGGAAAGGAAGGAGAGUGGAGGUGGAGGUGAUGGCGGUGGGUGGCAAUGUAGGUGAUGAAUGGUUGUGGGUGAAGAAGAAUGAGGGCAUAAAUUUUUUAACUAUUGUGUAGACGAAAUUACCCCUUAAAAAGUGAUUUCCGUCUCUCCUAACGGCACAAAUACACGGAGUGACCAAAACGGUAUAGAUUUACUAGUUCAGUGACAUUUCGCGCUAAUAAAAAAGUUUAGUGACCAGAACCGGCACUUUGAAAUAGUUUAGUGACAUUUCGCGCAAUUCGCUCAAAAAGAAAAAAGGAAGAAAGAAGAAGACAUAUAUAUACCCUUUGUUGUAGGGCAAUAUUUGAUUCUUAUACUGUGUGAGCUUUCUUGCUGAUGGACUCAAAUGACUGCUUAGGUAGUCCACCAAGAAAAUUUGUGUGAAAGACAUAUUAUCCUCUCCAUAAAUUCACCUUUAUAGCUGCCUACUGAGUAGUAAGUACUGAUCCACUUUCAAAACCAAAUUGUGCCCCGCAAAGCAAGCCCUUUUUUUCCUUAACCGCUCCACCCUAGUAGUUAUCUCCUUAAAUGCUAGUAAAUUACGUACAUAGAACUUUGAAUAAGCACUCUUACAUUUCUCAUUAUUGUUUUACUCUUCAGUUCCCAGGUCAGUUAUCACCGGAUUCAUCUUUUGCGUCAAUCGGAACUGAUUCAGAUAUCAAAUCCCAUUUGGUAACAGAAAUAUGCAACAUAUCAGACCGUGCUGUCACCUGCGCUCAUCAGCAUCAUUUCCGUUCCACUAAUCCCCCUUUCGUUGAUUGGUAUCUGGUCCUCAAUGUAUGUUUCAUUCCAUCUUUUUUCUGUUGCAAGUGUUUUCUCAAGCUGUUUUUGAACCAACGAUGGCUUGUGAUGUAGAUGCACCAACAAUGUUGGGCCCAAUUCACAGAUGUUUAUCCACCAACCCCUUCAUCGGCUGUACUGAUUUGAAGGCCGAUCUUGCCCAACCCAUACCAUUUCAGCUCGAACAAAGACCGCAGCUCCAUGAUCCACACCCACUGCUAACGUGGCACCUUUGCAUCCACACGACUCAUCCGAAAUAAGCUAGACGGUCGGAUCCAAAGUACUCCUAAAAUUUAUAAGGGGAAUGCGGUUACUUUCUUUCCUUCGUCUCUAUCGUUCUGCAUGAUCCCUACAGCCGCUGCUCUAUCACCACCGGCCUUUACCCAAUUUCAGUUGCUGAAAUUUCUCCGGUAAGAAGAAGAUUUCCUUCCUCGAUCUCUCUCAAAUAGAUUAUGAUCAGUUUCCUACGUGUUUUCUUCUUCUUUUUAUUUUUUAUUUUUUUGAGUCGGAUCUAGAAGGUGCUCUACCUUUUUUUUGUGCUUUUGCUUUUGCUUUUCUGAUUCAACGUGAUUUCCCGUUGUUUGGACGGUAGCUUGCAAUGCUAUCUGGCUAGGGUUUUCUAAAUCUGUUGGUUGGGAUGUAAGUGCGGUUUUGAUAAAGUUUUUUGUAGAUCCGUUGCGAUUUAAGUUUGGAUUUGUUUUACUGACCGUUAUUUUUAUUCGUUUGGGCGAUAAAUUUUGUCUACGAUUUUACGUUCUCGGAAACAUUAUACAGAAUAAUGUUUUUUUUUUUUUCGGUUUCAAGUCCUAUUGCAAUGGCGAUCAGUGAGUUACCGUCCUAUCAUACAGAAUAAUAAUAUAUAUAGAAUAUUGACAAGAGCUUUUUAUUUUUUUUAUGAUCCUCCCGUAGAAAUGUUUCUAAUCUUGGUUAGUUUGUGACUGCAGAUAAUGAAACUCUAUUCAUAGCCAGCGUUGGUUCUGCCUAUGUCAUGGUCAAGCUUUGAUUCAUGGCUUUUAAGAAGCGGUCUGGGCGAGAUAAAUGGUACAGGUUGGACGGCCAGUACGAUGGGACUAGCAAAUAGGCCUGUUAACGGGUCGGGUCCGGAUCGGAAUUGAUAAAUUCGAACCCAAACCUGUCACACUGUAUUAAUUUCGGAUCCGAUCCAAAUACUCGACAGAUCUCUUAAUCUGUCUCCCGGAACCGCACCCGCCGGGUCCCGGGUCCGGGUCCGGUAAGAUUCCAAUUCAGGCAGAAUAUUUCACUAAAAAUGUUAGGCAGCUGGCCAGAUUAUUUAACUUCAAUCAUCAUUAAAUCUUAGCUAAGGCUUGGGAGAAAGAAACAGCAUUUUGCUUCCUCAAGCAUUCAAAAGUAGGAUACAAGUUCGUUUAAUGUUUGCAAACUGAGGCAUACGGCCAAUGCCAAUUUAUGUGAAGGAAGUAAAUUUACUCUGAGAGGUUUAAGAAGUGAACUACAAAGAAAGCGGGUUUCACGGCGGACUGGCGGAGGCAGCAAAACAGAAACUGCUAGAAGCCUAGAAGAGCUGGGCUUCUUUGGAGCUGCAACCAUCAGCGUAGGCGUCAGAAAUGGAUUUGGCUUCGCCUGUUCCACGGCGGACUGGCGGAGGGCGGAGGCACAGCAAAAGAGAAAAGAGAGUGAGAGGGAGAUGUGCGGCUGGGGCAUUAGGGUUCGAAAAAUUGGGGAAAUGAAAGAAGGUGUAUGUCUUUUGGUGAUUUUUGAUAGAUAGAUUGGUAUAUUUUUCUAAUUAUUAAUUAAUUAAAACGGGUCGGGUCUAAUACGGGUUGGAAUGAUAUAUCCCGUAUUCGAUCCGCUUUUCUGUUAGAUAAAAUGGGUUCGGGUCCGGAUCGCGAUUCUAUAUAUUUAUCCAUACCCGAAAAAUAUUGACGGGUCCGAUUCGGGUCCGGGUCCAGACCCGAACCGUUGACAGCCCUGCUAGCAAAGGGAAAAGGGUUUAGCUGUUUGUCUAAGUUGCUAAUGGGGCGAUGAACUGAGUUUGACAUUCUGAUACUAGUAGUGUUAAUAAAACAGAUGUGAAUAUUUCAAUUUACAAUAAAAUAAAUAUAAAUAAUAAAAAUGUUAAUAAGUUGUGAAAAAAAUAACUCGUUCAAUCCGUUCAAUUGUCAGAUAUAAUCUAAUCUAAUCACCAAUUGCAACAUAUGAAACCAAUGGACGGUAAGUGUUUAUGUUUAGUUACAUCAUAACAUUGGGCAGAUGUAAGUGGUUAGACUUUCACACAUGGAAUAAAUAAAAAGGUAAAGAAAAUUUUGGGUAAAUCAUUUGGUCAAGGGGAAGAACCGAAAAACAACUCCAUUCCUGGUUCACGAUAAAGUCUACAUCCACUUCCUGCUUUCGCAAUUGAUCUUGUUUUAUCCUUGUCCCCCCACCCCACUCCUCUCUCGAGAAGUCAUUGGAGCAAAAUCAUAGCUGACCAACUAUUCAGUUCUCCAUUAGUAAUAUUCUUUCUCAACUGGGCAGAUGAGUCAUGCUUGUCGUUUCUUUCAUUUAUUUUUAUUUUUAUUUUUUUGUUGAAAUUUUUUUUUGGCUUCGGAACUUCUAAUGAGGGGUGGGUACUUUUUUUUUUUUUUGUCGACACGAUAGAAUUUCUAUAACCUAAACUAGUCUAUUCUAGGAGGGAAGGGGAGGGGACUCGAUGUGAGUAGAAAUUCCAUCGAAACUGGUCAACGAAGAUCGUCACAUAUUGUGACAAUUUUUGUGGGAGGUAAGGUUCGAAUUCUUGACCUCCCAUACCACCAAAUCUAAGAAGGUUUGGAUGACCACCGGACCAAAGGCCCAAUGACAACGAGGGGUGGGUACGCCCGCCAUAUUUUAUUGGAAAUUUUGGUAUGUCAUGCUCGACCGUUGCAGAAAAUAAAUCAUAUCCAUCAUUCAACCUUCCAUUCGCAUUCUCAUCAGCCUCCAUCAAUUCUUGACAAAGUUUGAUUUUGACUGUUCAUAGAUCCAUGGAGAUGGAAGAGGCACAAGAGUCCACUAGUUUCAGAGUACUGAUGUUCCCAUGGUUAGCUCAUGGACACAUCUCUCUCUUCUUGCAACUCUCCAAAAAACUGACCCAAAAGAAUUUCCAAAUAUACUUCUGUUCUACGGCCAUCAACCUCAGUUUUAUCAAGAAAAACUUAGGUGAAAGCUCAUCUGAUGAUUGUCAGAUGACCUUCCUCCAUGCUAUCACACAACAACGAAACUACCACCCCAUCUCAUGCCAACCCUCAUGCGUUCUUUUCAAAGUGCAAAGGAAAGCUUUAGCAGCAUCGUCACAGCUUUGAAACCUGAUUUGGUUAUUUAUGAUAGUUUCCAAUCAUGGGCCUCUACACUGGCUGCAAUCCAUAGCAUUCCUUCAGUUCAUUUUUCGACUUCAGGGGCAGCUACGAUGUCUUUCUUUUAUCAUCAGCUUAGUUCAAGAAGGGAUAGUGGUAUUUUUCCUUUUUCUGAAAUUUUUCAGAGGGAUUACGAAAGAGAUAAAUUCGAUUCCUUAGUUGAAUCCAAUAGGGGGGUUGCAGAGGAUUUUGCUUUCAGAAGCUUUGAGCUAUCUUCUGAGAUCGUUUUGAUGAAAAGCUGCGUAGGAGUUGAGGAGAAGUAUCUUGAUUACUUGUCUUUCUUGUGUGGGAAGAAGAUGGUAACUACAGGUCCACUCAUUCAAGAAUCACACCACAACUAUGAGAAUGAUGAUGAUGUGGGUACCAUCGAAUUUCUGAAUAAAAAAGAACAAUCUUCGGUGGUUUUUGUUUCUUUUGGGAGUGAAUAUUUUUUGUCCACAGAAGAAAGGGAAGAAAUAGCAUACGGGCUGGAGCUCAGUAAUUUAAGUUUUAUCUGGGUAGUUAGAUUUGCUGAGGGGAACACAAUUAGCAUUGAGGAAGCAUUGCCAGAAGGAUUUCUUGAGAGGGUGAAAGAAAGAGGGAUGGUUGUGGAUAAAUGGGCACCUCAGGCUAAAAUUCUUGAGCAUUCAAGCACAUGUGGAUUUGUGAGUCAUUGUGGAUGGAGUUCUAUAAUGGAAAGUUUGUACUAUGGUGUUCCAGUGAUUGCGAUGCCUAUGCAUCUUGAUCAGCCUACUAAUGCUAGACUUUUGGUGGAAAUUGGUGUAGGAAUGGAGGUUCUGAGGGGUGACAAUGGGCAGAUAAGGAAAGAAGAGGUUGCUAGAGUUAUAAAAUUGGUGGUUUUAGAGAAAAAUGGGGAAGAAAUAAGGGGAAAGGCUAGAGAAUUGGGCAAGAAGUUGAGAGCAAAAGGUGAAGCAGAGCUGGAUGAAGCUUUGGAGGAGCUUAGGAAUCUAUGCAGCAAGCACAAUCAGCAGAGAAGCCGAAGGCCCUCAUGACAAUUUUUUCCAUAUAUAUGUUUGGCCCUACUUAUAUAUCUCUAUUGUUAGAAUAAUUUAUACCAAGCUAAUUAGAAUUCAAAAAUUAAUUGGUGUUUUAGUUGUAUUACUAGUUGGGACGGCCUGCGCAAUAUUUCCCAUGUUAAGUUUCACAAGUUUUAGUUAUUGUAUAUUUGUUGUAGUAUAGAGAAUUAUAUAGGUGGUAUAAGUUUGGCUUGAAUUAUAAAAUAAUAGUGCGGUAAAUUGGUUGGGUGAAUAUAGUGUUAAUAGUUUGUGAAGUAUGAAGGAUAUUUUGUAAUAUAAUGGUUAAUAAAGUACUAUAAUUGAGACAAUGCAGUGUCAACAUUUUGUGUGGUAUGAUUUGUAUAAAUUAUGUGGUUUGGGUGAGGUAAUUAUAAAGAUACCUAUUUAUAUUUAUGUAUAUCUCUAUUACUCACUAAGUUCCAUAAAUAUGGGCCUUUUUUUUUUGCACAAAUUAAAACAUUUAAUCAAUAUAAUCACAAGAAUUGUUUUUCUUUCAUAUUUUUGUAUAAUGUCGCUCACUAAUAUUAGAUCAUUAAUCCACAUUAAGAGCCAUGUAUUAUUACAUUGUUUUUGAAAUUUACAGUACUUUAAUUUUUUUAAUGUAAGAAACAAUGUAAUUAAUGUUGCAUGUUUGACUAAAAGAAUAAUAAAAAAAUAGCAUACAACAUUGCUUUUCAAUUUAGAGUAAUUUAGAGCCAUUAGGAAAAAUAAAUAUAUACACAUCAAAUUUAGAGCCAUUAGGAAACAUUUUAUAAUAAUUAUAUAUAUACAUUAAAUAUGGAUAUCUAUUUAACAAUAUAAAAGUGAGAGUUGCCCUAUAAACAGUGUUUUUUUUGUCGAGCGGUUAUCCUGCAAUUGUUAUUAGAUAUCCAAGCUAUUAGUAAAUAACAAACUAAUUUUUCUUUUUUAUAGAAUGAAAGGAAUAAGAAUAAAAACAAGGGCAUUAAAAAUUUGUAAUAAUUAUAUAGAGUAAAUAUGGAUAUAUAGACUAAUAUAUCUUUAUAAUUGUAUAUUUUAAAAAGUAGUAGGAUUAGAAACCAUUUUUAGUCCAAACCCUUAACACCUUAACUGAUUUUGGUUAUUUGUGAUAAUAAUGUUGGACUUGUCUCUCGCUUUUUUUUUUCUUUUUCUGUUGUUCAAUUUUUAGGAAUCGUGCAGUCAAAAACUACUCUUGAACAUGCUAAAUAACCACUGCAUUCAACAAUUUUACAGAGCACUAUUUUAUUUCAUUUUUUUGCAAUAUAUGCAUUCAUUUUUUUCCAAACAAUUUUUAUUUCAUGUCGCAGUAAUAAAAUCCAUUUUUUAAAGUCAUUAAAGCCAAAAAUAAUUUAUUAAUUAUUUCCUCAAUAAUUGUGUAUUUACAGAACACUCAACAUUAAUUAGAUUGUUUCUUACAUUAAAAAAAUUAAAGUACUGUAAAUUUCAAAAACAAUGUCUUAAUGUUGAUUAAUGAUCUAAUAUUAUUGAGCGGCAUUUUACAAAAAUAUGAAAGAAAAAUAAUUGUUGUGAUUAUAUUGAUUAAAUGUUUUAAUCUGUGCAAAAAAAAAAAGAAGGAAAAACCAACAAAUACACAGAUUAUCAAGAAUAAGAAACAAAUAGAAAUACGUGAAACCUCAUAAUAAAAUUAGAAAAAAUAUAUUAAUCCAACUUGAUUAUCAAUUUUUAUUUUUAGCCCAGAUUAUUUGUAUGAUUCUUGAGCUUUAUUUGACUGAAUUAGAGAAAAUCUAUACAAGUUCAGAAGCUUAACUGCUGCGUCCCUUUAUUGCUCUUUGUACAGAUACAUAGAAAGUUAUGCCUUUUGCCUUUCUUUUUUUUCGUUAUUAUGCUUUGGUUUUCAGCUCAGAUUUCAUCACCGUAGCAUUUGACCAGAACGAUGACUGGAGGCUUCUCAAUGACCAAAAGACCAAAACGCCCCUCAAAGUCACAAAAAUAGCAGCAUAACCGCUUGACCAAAAUUCACUAUUCAUUUUCCAACUCUCUCUUUUAUUAUAUAGAUAUAUUAAUGUCAAGUUUGUGCUUGGUUUGAUUGUUAAAGUUGUACGAGAAUUGGUUUUAUAGUUAUUUAGAAAAUUGUCUACGUGGAACUGAUAAUAAAGUUCAUUUAGGAUUUAAUUAGUCUGGUGUCCUAUUUAAUGGUCCUGUGGCUGGUUUGUGUUAAUUGAGCAAAGCUAUCGGAUAGUAUUAUUGUGAGAAUGAAUCAUUAUUUUGCUCCAAGCCUUCUUCUUCGUUUCUUUUAUCCUUUGUUCAUCCGUUUGAUUGACAUUAUAAGUUUGUUUCUUAAUUUAUCAAUUAUUGAUCAUUUGAUUAGAGAUAUUAUAUUUACUUUCACUGAAUGAUUAUUUUGUGCUAACAUCUGUCGAGAUCUUGAUUGGAUGAUAUUAUUAUCUAAGGGACUUUGACCUAGAAAGAUGGGAAAAAAUUCAAAUGAAGAAAACUUCAAAAGCUCAAAAUAAAAAUGUAGUAUGAAACUUGAGGGCCUGCGCCUGCGGUCUGAUUUACGUUGUUCAUCGGAACCGUCAACUACUGAACACUGAUUUGCUACAUUCUUUCCAUAGUGAUCUUCGGCAUGUACAACAACAAUUCUUUUUGGAUUCAUGAAAAUCUUAAAGAGGCUGGAUUUGAAGUGGGAUUGCAAUAUUGCAUCCACAUUUCUAUUUCGCCAUUACGUAAUUAAGGAUCAGAGAUGUUAGGCCCUUGAUACGUCUAACAUCAUUGGAUUUAUUUACCCACUCUCAACUUUGUAUCUUGUAGAUUUAUGCUUAAUCAGGAAUCAUGAUGCAAGAGCAGGUUGGAAUGUGUAUUUGUGCCUAUCUUAUUUUAGUUGGUUUUGGCUCUUAUCAUCUUUACGAGUCACAAGCAAUAUUCUACCUUAAUACUAUGUCCACAAGAAUUCUACCUUAAUAAUAACUCCUGCAAUCUAUGUCCACAAGAAUUUUAUCUUAAUGCUACUAGAACUCAUGCACCCUUUGCCUCGACCUUCAAGUCUGCAGGGUUUCCAUGGUUAGCUCUUGGCCACAUCUUCCCAUUCUGCGAACUCUCCAAACAACUCUCAAAUAGAAGAAAAUUCAAAGUACACUUCUGUUCUACAGCCAUCAAUCUGAGUUUCAUGAAGAAAAAAUUUUGCUGAAGAGAUGUCUGCUCCAGCUCAUCAAAUAGAAUUUUAGUGGAACUUCAUCUGCCAGAAUUGCCUGAACUUCCUCCGCACUAUCACACAACAAAAAAACCUACCAUCCCAUCUCGCAUCAAUCCUCAUGGGUUCUUUUCAAAAUGCGAAGCCCAGCUUCAGGAAACCCUCAACUGUUUGAACCCUGAUUUGCUAAUAUAUGACAUGACAGCUUCCAAACAUGGGCGCCAAAACUGGCUGCUAUAAAUAAUAUCCCUUGUCUUCACUGUGUAACUUCUGGGGCUGCAUCCUUGUCCUUAUACUAUCAUCUGCACGCUUAUGGAAUCAACACUGAUACUUCUCCAUUUUAGGCACUUUCUCUGACGGACUAUGAAAGAAAGAAAAUGAAAGCCGUGGUUGAAUACAAUAGAGAUGCUGAGGAAGUAGUUGCAUGAUGUUUUGAACUGUCUUCUGAGUUUUUUAUGAUCAAAAGUAGCAGAGAAGUUGAUGAGAAAUAUCUUGAUUACCUGUCUAUCUUUUGUGGGAAAAAUAUGGUAACCAUAGGUCCACUUAUUCAAGAAUCAAAGCUCAGUACUGAGGAUAAUGAUCAUGUGGGUAUCAUCAAAUUCCUGAACAAGAAAGAUCAAUCUUCUGUAGCUGUUGUCUCUUUUGGGAUUGAGUGUUUCUUCUCUAGUGAAGAAAGGGAAGAAAUAGCAUAUGGGCUAGACCUCAGCAAUGUUAACUUUAUCUGGGCUCACAGAUUUCCUGCAGGGAAUGAAAUUUGUCGUAUUGAAGGAGUAUUGCCUGGGGAUUUGCUGAAGGGGUGAAAGAAAGAGGGAUUUUGUGGAUGGACGGGCACCUCAGGCUAAAACUUCUUGAGCAUAAUUGAUAAGGAAUGGAUUGUAGACUCUUGCAAGUUACACCUUAUGGCAUGCUAGGCUUUUUGUCAAACCAUUAGUGAUUUUGGGCCUCGGCCUAUUUUCCACAACCCAUUAAUUUUCUUAUCAAACAAAAAUUAAAAAAAUCACUCUCUCCUUUUUUUUUUUAAAUAAAUUUUAAGUUGUAUAUGAUAUUAACUCAUGCAAUUUGGUAAAACCUAAAUUAAGUGCUACAAAUAUAUAUAUUUUUUAUUCUCAGUGUGCCUGUGCUGAUGUAUAGUUCAGUGGAAAAAAAAAAAAACAAAUUUCGUUGCCCAACUGCAGUUUGCAUUCUGUUAAGAGAUUUUAAGGCUUAUUUUUGUACCAUAAGCAACCAUGACAAGCCUCAAUCAACCACUCCUCCAUUACAUAUUAGAACCGUAUUCCACAUAUGGGUCCUAAUUAAAUUGUCAGUGAUGUGCAUCAGAUAUGAAUAAAGAAAACUUGCAUUGUCUUCUUUUAUGUGUUUACGUACCUUACUCCAUGUGAUGAACUGAUGAUGAUGGGAUCUAACUUAACUCGUCCCUUCAUUUCUUUUUUAAGGUCAAUUUCAUUCAUGCCAUUCAAAUUGUGUCCAUGUUUCAAUCAAGCCUAAUAAGAUAACCUCUUAAUUUGUUAUCUCAAAAAAACCUGUUAAUUUGUUAUCUCAAGCCCUCUUUAAAAAAAAAAAAUUUUCCCCUGAAUGAUGAUAUAUGGACAUUUUACCUUCCAAUUGGAAGUUUUAGUCAAGGACGCCUUAAGCUUGAUAAAAGAAGAAAGAAAACCUACUUGUUAAAGGGGAGGCUUGGCUUCAAAGAUUACCCAUUACAAUAUUUCAGAGCAAGUGACAAAUGACAACUUAACAAGAAAAAUGCCACUAAAUUGGAAUAUAUAUUUUCUUCUAUAUAUAUAUAUAUAUAUUAAAGUUGCGAAUGAGUCGAGUAGAGUCGAACCGAGCCUUGACUUAGUUUUAUAAAAUUCAUACUCGAAUUUGAGAUCGAGUUUAAAAAUAAAAAUUAAUUAUUUUAUUUUUAAAAAAUAAAUAAAAUAAUAUUUUUUAAUAAAUAAUAAAAUAUUAGGGAUAUAUUAUGUAAUUUUACUAUUAAAAUAAAAAAUAUAUACUUUAGCUCAUGAUUAAAAUAAAAUAAAAUAAAAAAAAAAUAUAUAUAUAUAUACUAGAACUCGCGAAUCUAACAAAUUUAAUAUUUUUAAAAUCGAGUUCAAUUUAGCCAGCUUGAAUUCAAUGUUAAUCGAAAUCGAAUCGAAUAUUGACCGGCGAGCGGUUGGAUUUGUUUACUGCCCUAAUAUAUACAUAGCUAAGAGAGAAACAUGUGGUGUAUGUGGUUUGUCGUAAAAGUCGCAAGUCCCGAGUGCAUGGAAACGACCGCAUUUUUUGCUUUGUUGCUUCAAGGCUCCCACACUUUCAAUUCCUCGAAGUCCAUGAUACACACCUAUUGGGCAUUGGCUUUCUUGACUAAAGCGAUGCAACUUUAGUCUUUAUACAAAGCCAUCCCCUUGGCUCCCUCCCAUAAACUAGUACUACUACUAUUUGCUUUGCUGUGGACCUUAGUGAAUAAUUAAACAAAAAAUAUUUAAAUUUCAAAACGCGGCUCCCAUCUGAAGGUGUUUAAUUAGAUGUCAUGAUUCUUGACGACUGAGGAGGCAAAAUAUAUAUUUGAUGAUGCAACCACUACGAGAUUUUGGUUAAUUAAUUUGGUCCCCCAAAAGAAUCUCUAUGACCAUUAGUAGCCAACAGAUGGAGACCACGUAUUCGCCAAUGCCCUCUUUCCUAUUCUUUUGUUAUUACAAGGGUUAAUCACAUUUUAUCCCCUUAAAGAAUAUCCUAUCUUUCAGUUUACCCCCUAACCUUUAAUUUUGCUCACUUAACCCCCUUUAGGACAAAAUUGCCCUUGUAUUAUUUUGACUUUUCAUUUACCUUGUUUUCCUUUCUUUUAUUUCAUUUAUUUCUUUCUUCUUUAUUUAAUUCUUUCUCUUUCCCACAAAAAUCUUCACCUUAACGAUUGAAAUUAAAAAAGAAAAAUUGCAGAUAUUUAUCUUCUCCUUAAAUGAUUAAAAAAAAUAUUCAAAUCACUUUUCUAAAUAUACAAUUUUUUUAGUCUUUCAAUUCUUUUAAUUUUGGGUUUUCCUCUUUCCUUUCUAGUUUCUCAUUUUAUUCUUAAAAAAAUAUCAUAAUAACAAAAGAAUCUCUAUGACCAUUAUUAGCCAACAGAUGGAGACCUCGUAUUCGCCAAUGCCCUCUUUCCUAUUCUUUUGUUAUUAUAACGAAACCUCACUACUUACACUCUAUAACAAAUGCUGCUUGGCAAAAUUUUUAACUAAGUAGUUUUUUACUAUCUUCCAAUGGUAAAUCUGUAAUUGAAUAAGCAUUUCCUUGAAAAGCAGCUAGCACUAGACAAGAUGAACUGCAAUUUUUUUUGAGGGAAUUGCCCGGCUGCUUAUGAGAAUUGAGAAUGAUGUGAUAAAUCAAGAAAUGGAAUAUCAAUGGCAAAAGGGACAGCACUUAGUGAAAUUGAAUGCAGUAGGACAUUGCAUGGAACCUAGAAAGAAAGUCUCUUAUCUCUUUCCUAGGGUGGUUUUGUUUAGAGUGGGAGCAGCAGGCAAAAAUCCUGACGGAUUGAAAAAAAUUGGGACCAAUAUAUUUUACUUUUAACUCAAACAUUAAAGUUAUUGGUUUUUUCUUUUUUUAACUCCUGUUUUGUGGUCAAAAACUCAAAUCUAAAGUUUACUGUUAACUUUUUGGCUCAUUGGCAUACAAUGAAAGUACAAAAAAAAAAAAAAAAAAAAAAAAACACUUCGGCUCCUCUAUUGAAUACAUGAUUUAAGAAGUUGGGUUACAUUUAUUAUACAACUGUGGUUAAUGCAAAAUUAGUUUCAAGUUCCACAAUGAUCAGUAAUUAACCCAAAAAAAAAAAAAAAAAGUUUUUCCAAAUCUGCGAUCAAGACGUAGGAAACUCUUCUGCAUGUUCCUGGAAGUGGAGUACGAAACCCCACUAUAAUUUUGUAUUGCUCUUCGUAUCAUGGCCUAAAAUAAUAGUACCAUAAUUUUAAAUACAUUGUUACUAUGUAUAUAUAUAUAUAUAUAUUUUUAAUCAUUUUUUAUCUCAUAUAUAUAUAUAUAUAUAUAUAUAUUAAAUCUCCAUAACAUAUUUUUCUACAAAAUAAAAAAAAAAAAAACCAUCCAAACAAGCUGAUAGUUGUCACAAGGAAUGCUAGUGCCCGCCCCGCGGUCGGUUAUUCUUGCAAUGAAACGAGGCAGACCAAUCCAAACCAGAACCCUUUUUCAACUUCCAUAGCUCAGGUGUAAAAGAAAAAAAUUAUUCAAACAAAGCGCGUCCAUGAGACUACUAUACAUUUUAAGGCCAUUCCAGCCUACUCGUCUCACUCAUUUAGCCGUCUAAAAGAAAGACAAACAAACAUCAUAAAGCCAAGCAAGAAAAAGGAAAAGCAAACACAUCCCCCCCACAACCACAGCUCCGCAAGAGUAAGAAGAAAGACUUCAAGAUAUCAGAAAACCAAACCACAUUCUUGAAACCGGAAGGAAACCAGCUAAGAUCUCUCCAUUGAAGAUCAAAAAAAUGAUUGAAGAUCGCGGCCGCGGCCCUCCGCAUGGUAUUCUGUUGGCGGCGGUGGUGGUGGUGGUGCUAGCAGUCCCUAUGCUUGUAGGAGAUCAAGGUGAAGCUAUCACCGAGUUCAUAGCCGAUCUUCUGAGCCCAGUUGGACUUUUACUCCUCCCCAUCAUCCUCCUCCUCACCAUCCAGUUCCUCUCUUCAGAAAGUGGCUCCUUCAUUUCUAGCAUCUUUUCUACUGGAGAGCCUAACACCAUCCACCGGGUUAGUGGUUCUCCGGUAGGCGUUGCUCUCUUUCUUGUACUCAUACUGUUCCUUCUCUACAACCGCGUUUCCAUCUUUGGAGGUGAUGAUGAUUCAGGAGAAUGAACAAUCAGCUGGGAGGGGCUUGUCCGUGCUUCAACUAGAUCAAGUGAUUUACUACUACUUAUUAGUAUUUUAAUCUGCUACUGCUAUGCUUUCUUGCUUACGUUUGUUCUUUUUUUUUUUUAAUCUUUCAUUAAUUUUUGUCUGGUAACUGGUAAGGGUAUACGUAAACAGUACUACUGUAUGGACGGACGUAGAGAAAACUUUGCUGUAUGAAAAUUGAGGCUUGCACAUUGCGAUAUACCGCGAGCUGCGGAUAUUGUUAUUAUUAUUGCCAAUUUAUGUCCAUUUGUACUGCAUUGUGAAUAUGGCCGGUAUCAAUGUGACAAAAUCACUCUUGCUUAAUCCAUUGUUGUUUUUAAGAUUUUAUCAAUCGUACAGGAAGGAGGUAUAUUAUUAUUAUUAUUAUUACUAUGGGCCGGCAUAGACCCGACGAUUGGCUGUCGGCAAUUCCGGCCGGUGGCCGGUGUUCAUAUUGCUCUCUUCAAUUGGCUGUCUUCUUCACUUCUACAACGCAUUAAUUUAGGUUUUUUGCACGUUGAUUUUGACUUCUAUUUUUAUGUGGUUUUCGAAGAAUUGUGGUGCAAAGUCAGAAGAAGUGGGAUGACUCUGCAGUUACUGACAAAUGGAAAUUUAGAUAUUUUUCAUAUUACCAAACAAAACAAUAUGACUCUGCAAAGUAGAAAAGUUUCUUCAUGCCUUCUUCACAUGCCCUUUCUUUUUUUUUUUUUUUUUUGGUCACAACGAUAACAGUUAUAUAACAUUCACAUGCACAAUUUACACACUUUCCGGCCAUUUUGACAUCCCUAUAAACGAAUAGCUAGUUUGGGAGUUUAGGAUAGAAAAGAAACCUUAAGUUGUGAAAGAAAAGAAAGGAUGUGAAAAAAAGAAGAAAAAAAUUUGAUGUUGUUUGAUAACUUAAAGAAAAAAUGGAAAGAUUUUGGAUAUAUAUUUAUAUAUUAAAAAUUUGUUCAAUAACCAUUUAAGGACACAAUUGAUAUUUAAAUAAAAAAAUUUUAGCCACUCUUCCACUUUCCGUCCAAAUCAGGCCAAAACGGGCAGAAAUUUUUUCUCUACUGUAGCCUACAAAUGGAUCGACCAUAUCGGCCCAUUUCCCUUCUUUUUUUUUUGGCAUAAAAAAUCUCCCAAUCUGUCACUCUCUUUUCUUUUGUGGCCAAAUCCUUCCUCCCAAACGCACUAUAAGUCAGACUGGGACCAAUUCGGGGAUGCGCACAACAACUAUUAGUAGUAUUACCUGUGGUUGCAAAGUGUUUGGAAGACGUCAACAAUUCAACAACCGUGAAGGUUAAAACGAAUGCAGCUGCCUCGUAAUUGUGAGACUAUUAGAGAAGUGUAAAAGAACAGAACUUGAAUGGCUGAUAUUUGUGUUAGAGAAACAAAAGCUUCACAUACAUACAUGGUGCCCUGUUGGGGAGAGGCUAAUUAUUAGUUCAUUCAUAGUACAUCUAGCAGUCCCCCCAAUAAUUUCUUCCUUGCUACGAAACAAUUUCCAUGGACCAUUUACUAAUUUCUGUCUGCUGGGGCCUUCAUUGCCCGCAUGAGCAUGAAGAAUGAUUAAAGCGAGUACCAACAUAUACUGCCAGGAGUAAAACAAACUAGGAGUACGCUUGUCAGCCGGCACAUGCAUGUGGGGAUAUCUUCUGCUUUUACGUUUGGGAAUGGAGGUGUAAAACUAAUCCCCACAAGAGUACUGAGCUAGAGUCAGAAUGGCCAGUAAACUUGAAAUAAACGCAGGUGGGGUGGGGGGGGGGUGGCGGAGGAUAACUAAGUCAAACUGUACAAUCAAUGACCCACACACUGGGGUCUUAUGCAGAGCCAAGAACCAGUAAUCAUAAGUAUCAAGCAGCAUCUGCUAAGGCGUUUACAUAUAACCUGUACGAAAGAUGAUUCUUAUGCCAUACACAAACCACAAGAAACUCAAAAGCCUGGAUGGACGCCUGAAGGGAACUUGGAGCAUAAAUGGUGAGUUUUCAGCUGUGAUGAUAGUCAAAGGAUACGAGACCCAGACCACCGCGAAGGAAGGCAAAGAAAUUCAUGACUAUAGAGACAAGCAUAUCAUGAAUUACCUAGAACACAACGAAUUGCAUAACCAGGAAGCUCUGCUGCCGAUAUCAUUUUAUUAUAAAGUGAACUACGGGUUUGCUACAACUGUCACUCCAUCCAGUAUAGUUUUUCACUAUGCAAUAAUGCAGGUAAUUUCUAAACAAAUUAUUUAUACAACUGAUAAGAAUAGCACUACUAGGUGACCUGGACGCACGAAACCAUCUUCUGCAGUUUUGAGAUCAAACAGUGAUGGAGCAAUGGAUCAACUACCCCACCAACUAUAUCUUGGUCCGUCAAACAAAUGUCAUGCAAUAUCACGCCAUCUACUCCAAGCUGAAAUCAGCGCAACAAAGAAGCAAAGCCGAGUUAGAUUCCCAGCUGGAAAUUCGACAGCCUUCAACGGCCAACAAGAAUCUGCAUGUCAAGUUGUACAGGAACCUUAACAUGCAAAAUCACCAUGAGUCUAUAUAAUUUCUUACUGAUUAACAAAGUAUGAGAUUACAUAAAUCACAGGCAAUAGCACAAAACUUAGAGAACCAUCAUAUGAUGAAAAGCAGCAAAGGGCAAGUAGUCAACAAUUCAACACUAAAUGAGAUUUAAUUGAACGCAUGUCAAAGGUAUGUUUCUAGUGGAAUUGAAAAGGUAUAAAUAAAGUCAAAUGGACUGACAUCAAUAUUUUUCAAAGCCAUCAAUAUCCCUAUGUGCCAACCUAACCUAAACUUUUGAAAGGAAUGUCAUGACAAGCCUGAAAAUGGAAUUCCAUGACAGAUGCAUCUCUAAACUGGAGAUACGUUUUACAGAUAUGGGAAAGUUCUGUUCACCUAUUACUUCCUAUAUUUGGCAGGGAUGAACCAGCAAUCAUUCAGUGGGCCUAUAUGUAUACAACACGAAAACUGCUUUGCACAAAAGAGAGAGAGGGGCGGUGGGGAGAAGGGGGGGUAGGGACAGCUAAAAGAAUGAAAAAGAAGGAAAACAAGGAUACACAAAAAAAGGGAAAUAGUAUUUGACAGUAAAAAGAUAUAAUGAUUUACACCUCCUCAAUGUAGAAAUUGAUGUUUAUACACUAAAUUAUCUCUCAAGGAUGGGAACUUGGCAGUACAGAGAAAAACAUGAGACCACAUAGGAUAUCAAUAAUGUUUACUAGACAAGGCAAUCAUCCAUAUUAUUACUCACAAAAUUGCAGUACGAAUACAGUAAGUCAAAAAACUAGUUGAGAAUUACGACAUAGUAGACAAGAGAUUAACGAAACUUCCAUCUAAAACUGACUCUCACUGUACAACAAACAGAAGGGUCUAUACUGCAUUUCAUCACCGCUGCAUAUUUCAUUACAUAUUGAGAAGUACAGCACAUUACUCCAACUUCAAGAAGCACAUCACUGCCUAAAAGACGGAGCUCAAUAUGGUAAGUGUUAAAUCUUUCUUUGUGUGAUUGUAAUGGUAAAUUAAAUUAUUCAAGGAUGAAAUAAAACCAUGCAGAAGCUAAAUCUACCAGUACCCUCAAAGUUGAGUAUGAUAGUGACAGCUCGCAAAUCCUAACUUCAUUAGUUUCCUUAAAGAGAAAAUCUAAUUUCCAAACAGGCAACACUAAUAAGCUUCAUUCAGAAGCUUCAAUGCUCAUUCAUUUAUACAAAUCAAAUACUAUUUAUCAAAUAAUAAGAGGGGAAACACAGAAUCUAAUCCCAUUAGCAACAGCAAUUAAUAUUGUAUCCCUACAAAGUCCUUUUUUAUUAAAAAUGCAAUGAAGAACUGCACAGCAAAAGUAACAACUGGCUAAAUCAAACAUAAAGAAUGUGUCUCUUAUAAAAUAGAAGAAAUUUACCAAUUUUCAGGCAACUCCAAACUCUUGUAGCCUGUCACAGUGAGGAGUUGGAUAGUUUCUGUUCCAUUGACGCCUCUGGAGUUCUAUAUGGCAAUAGCGGCCAAGCAUAUUUUUGUAAUCCCUAAUCACACUAACUUCAAUGUUUUCUCGUCCAGGACUGCCCAUUGGAUAUUUAUGAUCAAACUCCGAUGACCUAACAAAAUACUCUACUCCAUGUUUUUCUGUUUCCUUUCUGAACUGAUAGGUGUAGUUCUUUUGUAAAGAAUACUCAGGUUCCGAAAAUGGAAGAUACGCGAGCAAUAUGAUUAGCAAAAAUGGCAGCAACUGAAGUAGCAGCAUGAGAUUAGGCCCAUUUCCACCUAAAUCUCCUCUUUGCUGACCGCCUGCGCUUCUGGUUCGGUAAACAUGAGCUGUCCUGAACAUGUCAUUCUGACCAAAAAAGGCCCUAAAAAUCUCAUCUGGAUCAAAAUCAUCUUCAUAAAUGCCAUACCCAGUUGUUCUUCUCCGCCGUCUCACAUUAUACUGCUGAUUAUGCUCAAAUUCCUCAACCAAACCAGUUUCAUCAUACUGUCUCCUCGAGUCAUCCUCACUCAAACACUUAAACGCCUUGCUAACCUUCUUAAAUGCAUCCUCUGAACCUGGAGCCUUAUUCUUAUCAGGAUGAACCUUCAAUGACAGUUUCUUGUAUGCCUUCUUAAUCUCCUCAACCGAACAAUUCUUCUCCACACCAAGAACUGCAUAAUAGUCCUUCUUACUCUUUAUCUUCUUAACCAAUUGGACAUGCUCUUCCGUAUAAGUCCUCUCCCCGUUUGAAACCGCAUCAACCUUAACCCCACCCUCCUCAUUUCUCACAUGAUUGCUGCUCGACACAGUACUUGAAGGACUAGCAGACGACGAAUCAAGAUCCUCACAAGCAGCCAACAGGUCGUCCACCGAUAAAGAGUGAUUUAAUCGCUGCGCAAUCUUGAUAAAUUUUAGGGCCCUUUGCUUAUUCCCUGACGCAAUUGCCUCGUUGGCAAUGCCAAUGCACCUUAAAGCCUCAUCUUUAUUCCCAUCCAUUAUGACCUUGAAAAACCCACUUCAAAAUUCAACAAUUUAACUCAAGAUACGGCCAUUAAAUUCAACCCCAAUGUUCUCUCCUUUUCUUCUGAUCCAAAACCUAACUAUCCAAGAGCUAAUUUUGACCCCUUCACAGAAAAAUCAGGAUCUUAUGGUAAGUAAGACAUCAAAUUAACCUGAUCAACGAAAUUUUUGAAAAAAAAAAAUCAAAAGAAUUCCCAUUUACUAAAGCAGGUACAACUCCUACAUGUUCAUGAUAAAGGGUAAAGGGUAGAUAAAACUAGGGCGGCUUUCAAAAGUCACGAAUGAAACUUUGAUAAUGAACAUGUAAUAUGGAUUAUACAAUAAAGUAAAUAAAAGAAAAGAAGUGAAGUUACUCACUUUGCACAGAGGAAAUCGCGAGUUUUUAAGGCCGACCCAGAGGAAAAUUGGGGAAGAUGGGGCUCUUGAGAGGGGGAAGUUUUGAUCUUUGUGUCAAAAAAUAUAUAUAAAUAGAAAAGGUAAGUGGUGAAAGCAGCCAGUUUUUCUUGACUGAUAGUGUAUUUGUUAGAUACCAAAUUUUUUUUUAAUAAUAUUUUUUUAAAAUCAUAAACACAUUUUUUUAAUUUGUUUUUUUAUAUUUUUAAUUAUAUUUUUAGUAUACAUGUGUCACAUCACAAAAGUGUUAUAAUAACUAUUUUAAAUAAUAUACUAUCCAAACAAAUCAUUUCCUAAUUUUUUUUGAGUUUAUUUUCUAAUUUAAAACGGUUUGUUAGUAAUGGUAACAUUUUCAUUUUUCCUGUUUAUUGGUGCCCGAGGAAAAAGAGGCAAUAAAAAUUACUUGCUAGAUUAAACAACAUUUGUUUGGAGCAGGGGAAUGAUCAAGGAAGGAAAGAGACGGGGAGAGGUUUCCCUACAUUAUGAAAAUGUCCCCGACCAAUUCUCUUUUGCACCUCAUAAAACUUUUUAUUAUUCACACUAUUUUUUAUAGUUAGCAAAUAUAUAAUACUUGGAAACAUACCUCUUUGAAAGAUUUCAUUCUUUCGCCUCGGACAAAACUGUUUCUCCUUUUCCUUAGGAGCUUCCACUUCCACACCUACAUUCAUCCAAAAAUUUGAAGACUUAUGGCAGUAACCAUUUUGGAGAAUGUAAAAGUUGUUCUAUUAUACUUGCUUAUUUCCCAUCUUCGUUUCUUGUUUUUGGUUGACACCUUGCGUCAAGCAUGGCAUGGAAGUGCUUGUGCAAUGCCAUCAUUUUCCCUUUGCUUCUUAAAGGUCUACUUGUUAAAUGUGUGAACGAGUGUCCUGAUUAAGGCCAUGUGCGUUCUUUCUGAAAAGGUAGUUAUAGAUCCGAAUAUACUCCUUAACCCUAAAUAGAACACAAGGACAGUAGUUUUCCAUUCAUGGUUGCUGUGUCAAAAUUUUAGAACCAUCAAACAUGAGGGUGAAACGUCAAUAAUGGUAGUUUGGUGUGGGAAUAUUGUCAGGUGUCCCUCAAAAAUAUUGAAAGGUGACAGAACUUGUGCACUUCAAGACCAUCUCGAGCCACCUACACAGAUGAUGAUGAUGAUUGAUGAUGCAUUGUUCCAUCUCAGAACAAAGAAACUAUAUCAGAAAGAUACAAAAAUUGCAUGAAACAGAUCUGACUUGCAAUACUUUGAUAGCAAAUCAGUUCUCUUCGUCAGAGUCAAAAGAUUGUCUUCGUCGUAAAGAUUCUAUUAAAUCUGAUGACUUCUCUCCUCGAGUAACAGCAUUGGUGCGAGACUUGAGCUUAGGCACGCUCAUAGCACUGAGUGGUGGUGUUGAUGCACCCUGGUUAACUUGCUUGAGCACGGCCUGAGCCCUGGUUGCAGCUACUGCACUUGCCAUGGCUGAAGACACCUUUGAAUGGCUAUGUAGAGGCUCUUGUGAGGGACCAGAUCUUGCUAUCCUAGGAUCACCGGGCGAUUGAUAGGUUUCUGAUCUCUGUCUCGUUGCAAUAGCUUCAGCGGCUGCUGACUUGGCCUUCACCGUUUCAUAUUUUUCCAUGUCAUAAGUAAGCUCCUUCUGAAGCUGCUUAUCAGCUACCAAAAUCUCAUCAAUCUCAUUCUUGUAGUCCUUGAGAAGGACCCGGAGGCAUUCCAUAAGGGUACCAAUCAGAGGACUAUUUUUACUCUCCAGUAACCGUUUCAACUCUAUGAAAAUGGGGACAGUAUUUUGAAUUAGGCCUUUUUUAACGGCUUGUGUAAUAGCUCUUCCCUUAGCAACAGCUGCUGAUCCUCCGCCCUCACCUCCAUCUUCUUCCAGCUCCGCUGAGUCAGAUGAUGAUGCACGGAUGGAUGGAAUUCGGAUCUCCUUGCUGCAUAGAAUUUGAAAUGCAUCCUAUCCCCCAAUAGUGCAAAUUCAGGUGAAGGACGAGUUUCAAAAAUAUGUGAAGAAAACAAAGAAGUUAACCAACACAACAGUGCUUUUCUAAGUUCAGGCAGCUUUGGGAAUUGAUGACUUAAGGUAUGGAAAGCAGAAAGGUAAACCAAAAGAAAACUUUAAUUAAUGGUGUGGGUACAGUUGAAAAAAUGGUCUAAUUCAAAUAACCUAGCUUCAAAAACAGCAUAUCCGAAAUACACGUAGAGAGCAGUUUAGAGAAAUCAUUACCUGCAAAACUGACUGUCCAGUAAUAUCCUCAAGAUUCAGCAUACCAUCAGAUGCAGCAGCAAGAAUUUCUGCACAAACCUUUGCAAAGGUGGCUAGAAGGUGUUCUGGAGCCAUUUGCUUUAGCAAAGUGACAUAAACAUACAUCCUUUUAGACCUUGAUUGGUCGUCAUUACCUCUUGAAAAUAGAGAUUCCCUGGUUAUUUAAUGUUUACAGAUUUACUCUCCAAGUCUCAAAGGAUUAAAGCAUCCUUACCGUAUACAAAACACCUGGUUUUCACUUUUUGAGUUCUGGGGAUUACUUCGUCCGGUGUGGGCAUUGCAGUCAUUAAGAACAAAAAUGGCUUCUACAAAGCUAUUGUAAGCUAGAAGUGGUGCCUUAACUGCAGAAACACAAGAAAUGAAAGUCAGACUCCAUUGAUGAUAUGUUGCAGUAAGCAUCAACAAAUUAUAAAGCCGGUCUAACCUUUCAAAAUGUUUCCGAAGAGGAAACCAGCUAAUUGCCUUAUUUUAUCUGAUUCAUCAACAAGGGAUAACAGAAACCGAAGGAAAAGCACUCCUCGCCACUUCACAUAAUCCCUCUGAACAUGAUAAGAAGUCAAACAACAAAAUCCAAAAGGUGAGAAAAAGGGAAAAAGGAAGAGAAGCAUAAUGGCCGGAAUGCAGUAUAUGUUCCCAGUUGAUCUUGAGAAACGAAAGAUCACCUGUAAUAGCCUGGCAAGCAGGACAAACGUUUGCCUUCUAACUAGUUCACAUGGGUCACGUAGACACUUGGUAAUUGUUGUCAUGUAACUGUUGGUGUGAAAAUCAUAUGGAGCACAUUGAUUAAAUUUUCAGAAAAUCAGUUCUUAUUCAUGUGGAAAUGGACUUGGAUAUAAGUACUAAACCUCACCAGUCAACCAAUGCAGUAUGUCGUACACAGAAAUCUGCCAUCAUCACAACUAUAUUAUUGCGAAGAGCUGCACAAUCACUCUUUUCAAGCUCCUAAGCCAUAAUAAGCAUUAAGAGUAAGGUGGUUGCAGAGAAUAUACCAGUACUAGUCAAAGAAUUGUUAAUGUAGAAAAUCACAAGAAGGUAGAAGUAAGCUAGUCCUGUUAAAACUCUUUCGGAAUAAUGAUCAGGACUGCAAACAAAGGAAUAAGAGCAAAGUCAUAUCCUCUCACUUUUACUUUUGGAAUCUUUGAAAAGCUGUACUCGAUGUGAACAAAGUGUGAUGUUCCCAAAUUAGUGAAGAUAAAAAAGCUAUCGUCACCUAAUGGGUUUAUGACACAUCCAUUCAGUCACAGCAUUGUCUUUAAAUCUAGAAGAAACUUCUAUUCACUUAGUUUCUCUUUGCAUUGAGGAUUUAAGGCUUCUAAGGAAACAGUAAAAGGAUUAAAUCCACGAGAAAACCAUACCUGCACAAAAAGAGGAAUAUAGCUCUUAGCCAGUUUUCCAUCAGCAAGACAGAUCUUGCCCAUUGUUAGCCAUGCUUGAAUGUACAAAGAAGGUGCUACCUCCUUUACAGAAAAUGCAGGCCCCACUGAUAUCUUAGAUUUUGUAUCAGAAUUUCCAGAGGUGAUAAUGGUAUGUAAAACUGCAACUAUUGCCUUUAAAUCAGCUGAAGGACAAAUGAUUACUAAAGAACCAAUCGUAUAAACUGCAGUAAUUGCCUGUAACAAUAAUUUACUCAUGGAUGCUGUUACUGCUUUUCCAUGCCUAGUGCCACCACUAUGUGGUGUAAGAAAGGUGUUUUUGUUUUUAUUAGAAUCCUGUGAGAUAUACAUGUCUAGUACAUGGGAGGCUUUAGAAAGAAGUUGAUGCACCCAUUUUAUGACAAGGGAAUCUGCCUCCUCUGGGUUUAAGGCCUUACGCUUGCAAAGAGUUCUGAGUGCCUUUACAUGAGCAUUAACCUGUCAAAGUUUGAAAGCUGCUUAGACAUGUGCCAAAGAUGUCAUACAGCAACCGGAGAAUAAAGAACAUGCAACUCAUUGUUUUCCAAGCCAAGGCAGGUAAGGGAUAAAAAUAAGCAUAUGAACCACAUUUAUGCAGCUUUCUGGCCUUCCAUACAUACUCUUUUUGACAGUGAAUGAAACCUAAUUGACUGAAAAUGCUCAUGCUUUAUUGUAGUGAAACUAUCAAGAAGAUUAUCGAUAAAUAUCAAAAGUCUUCUUUGGAUGUGCCGUUUAAUUAACCAAGUAAAAUCUCAUGUCUUUUACAACUCUUGAGGCCAUUCAACAGAAAAAUUUAGGACAGGAAAUGCAUUUUAAAGAAUAGAAGACAAUACUGAUGGAAUUCAUAGAACAAAAUACAGUAGUGUUUGAUAGAUACCUCAGUUGAAUGCAUGUUGAACUCCUCAAGUCGCUUGAGAAAGUUAUGAGCUAGAUCAGCAGCAGGUUCAGGAGGCAGCUUCACAGAAACAUUAGAGAUUGUUUGCAAGAGGAAGACACGGUCCCCUGCCCAAGCAACCGAAUUAGGUUCUAUGUCCAUUUCCUCAUUGCCAUCUCUUUUUUCGUGUGGGCUCCUAAGCUCACCAGCAGGUUCAUACUUGUCCACGAGCUGCCAAUGAUGAUGGAGGAAUUCCCACUCCACCUCCUUUGGAAGGAAUGCUGACACCUCUGAUAACAGAAGCCAGGCACCUGGAGGUGCUGUCCACUUCUCGAUUGGCAUAGAAUGACUCAACCACAGGGAUUCAGAUGCCCUUAUGAUAUUCUGGAGGGCUGUAGCAAUCUUGGGUUUGAGCCUUUUUUUCUUUCCUAAGCUUGUACAGAUCUUCUUCACCCAAGAAGUCACCUCUGCAUCACAAGUCUCUUUUAGUAUACACAAAACUCCCUCAGGACAUAACAACUCAAUUUCUCUAUCCAAAAUCCUUGACUUUCCAUUUGACUUAUCCGUGAAAGAAUGAUGAUGGGAUGUGGUAUCUGAUGGAACCUUAGAUACUCGAUCAAGAACAAGUUCUGAAAACAGGCUCUCACAUUCUUCUUGGAUGCUAGAUUCAUUGUCAGCUAUUAAAGGUGGAACAGAAUGUAGCCACUCUUUAGUUACGUUUGUAUCACAGAAUAAUCUAAAGGCCUACACAGCAAUACACAUGUCAAGAUAUGAUUGAGGAAUUACAAAUCCAGCUAAUUCAAUGUGCAGUAAAGAAAAUGCAUCUGAAACUAUUAUAGCAUCCAAGGAAGAAAAGGAUUAAUACAGCCAAUAACAACUUGGGAGAAAAGAGUGGCAGAAUAGUUUGCUUUGUGCGAGGCAUGCAGUACCAAUGGUUGCAAAAUGCUUUACCCUGGGGCUUUAUCUUUUAUCAUAUCUCAUUGGAAGGGAAAUCUAAAGAAUAAAUCACAAAAAGGUGCUUUAGGAACUGCAAAAUCAUGCACGUGAAUAUGGAUAACUGAAAAGGCAUUUCAGGCAUGUUAAUCUGACAAAUUGUAUUUGCAAAUCUAGGUUACAGAGCAAAGUAUGCAAUUGGAUUCUUCCUAGACAACAACUUUAGAUAAGCAAAACAAAUAAAAUAAAGAUCAAUAAAAUAUAUUUUCAGGGUAAGCUAAUGAACCUCUGAAAGAGCUGAUAUUGCUGCUUUCCGUAUACUAACAAGGGGGUCAGAACAAGCCAUGCCCACGAUCUUCAGCAAUUCUCCAUCAAGAGCACCUCUUAAAAGUACUGUUAACUUGGAGAUCAGAAAAAGAGCCGCCUUCCUGACUGCAGCCUUCUCAUCCAUACACCGUUUCAGCAAGAGAUCAUUCAUCCUACAUUUCGUGCUACUCAAGCCCUCAUUCCCAAACCCCAUCACUUCCUUCAACAAUGCCCUGCUCCUAUUAUUCCCAGAGAAAAAUCCUACAACUUGAGCUAAAUUGGUUAAGGCCCUCGCUUUAAUCCCAGCAGUAACAUCUGAGCAACGCUCAAUUAAUGCCUCCAAACAAGUCAAACCCCACAAGUUCUCAACUUUAUCACCUGAAUCCAAUCCCAAGGGGUCUCUCAAUGUCGUCAUCAACAUAAGAAUUAGGUCAACGGACAGAAGCCUAAAUUGACCUUUUCCUUGGCUCAUCUUGACUACAUAAUGUGUAAAUUCAACUUGAUCCUCAAACGCCAAAACUUUAACAAUCUCCAUAAUAGAUUCCACAGCCAAAGCCCUUGGCUCAGCCUUUUCCGGGGCCUUAUGCACCAAGUACUUGGGCAAAUUGACAACUGCUUUCUUAAUCUGACUCGAAUGGUUAGCCAAUCUCAUCAUUCUAUUCACCACAAACUGCAAUCCAAAACCUUUAGCCUGUGAUUUAGGAAGAAACAUCAAAGGUGUCAAACACUUCAAAACUUCAGCUGCAGAAACUGUCUGAUCCCCAUGCUCAGCUUUAAGCACUUCACUCAAAAUCUGAGAACUCAGCUCGCAUAACUUUUCAUAACUCCCUGAACUCCUACAAACCUCAACUGCCACAACAGGAAUCUCAGCCACUGUCUGAACCAAACUCCUCAAACUAUCCGGAAACCUAUCCAAAUGAACCAAGCCCAACACUGAUUCCAACCUCUCCAGAACACUAAAAAACACCCUCGCCUCAAUAACUCCCUCUUCACCGUCAUUUUCACUCUCUUCCACCUGUUUUCCCUUAUUUUUCCCCACCCCUAGCCUCCCUCCACCGCGCUUUUUUCUACCCCGAUUGUCACCCCCAGGACCGUCAUUAGAAACCAGAGAUGGGUUCUUGAAAGCCCAACGAAUCGACCGCAACAGUGACACAAAAGCCAUGGGAGUGAACAGAGUUAAAACAGGAGAAUUAGGGGAUAAAAGCAAAGAAAGGUAAACAUUUGAGGCUAAAAGGGAAAGAGUACUUCUUGUGGGUCCGGUAGAAUCCAUGAGGGAGGAAAUGGAACUGGUUAAUGAAGUUAAAGAGAGGUUUCUUGAAGAAAUUUCAGCAUAAAAAGAUUCAAGAUCUGUUGAAUCAUUGGUUCUGAGUGUGUAAUCCAGAAGGGUUUGAAGGUCCUUGAGAGAAAUUGCUGAAAGGGGAUUUUGGGCUUCCAGUUCUGCAAGAAUUCUGUUGAUGGAUUCUUCAUCCAUGGUUGAAUUGAUCGACUUUGGGCUCUGGAGAUUGAAGGGUUCUGCUGCUCUAUCUAUUACUGAGGUCCAUGGCUCGGUCGUUCUUCAAGAUUGCAACUUUCAUCUUCAUUUCUAGGCUGAGGGCUUCAAAUUUUUUGGCUUUCCCGCUCUAACAUUGGGAUAAAUACUGCUCCAUACAACAUUAACAACGCCUUUUCGUAGCGUCUAAAGUACUCUAGACAGCGCUUACUUAGAGGCACGGUUUCAAGCUUCUGAGCUGCCUUUUUGGGUCUCGAAUGUACUCUAGAAAGCGCUUAGUUACCAGCACGGUUUCAUUCUCAGGAGCGGGAGGAACAAGGGAUAUACUAGAGUCUCUUUUUACGUUACUACGCUACUUGCUGCAUGGGCUUAAAAGUUCUACUUGGAAUUGGAUCUAGCUUUCCCGGGGAAAAAUAAUUUAUACCUGAAAAUUAUUUUGAUGACAAAAUUUUAUAUGCAAAAAUACUAGAGUAAUUUAUACAGACAAUACAUACACUAUCAUAAUUAGUUAUAUGAUAUAUCUGUAAAAUUUGAAUUUCAAAUUUAUAUUCGAAUUAUGUAUCGGACAUUCAUUGAUAAAAGUAUAUGGACUCUCAGUAUAUAGAAGAUAAUCUAAAAUAUUAUACUCCACUUUUGUAAAGUUCCUUUGAAGAAUGAUUUAGGAAAUAAACACUGGUUAUGUAAAACAAAUAGCAUUUCAUGGCAUGCAAGAUUUACAUAUAUUCCUAGUUUAGGUCAAUUAGAGAGUUGCAAUGUCCAUGGCCUGAUUUCACAGCUAAACAAAUAGCACCACCGUUGAGAAUUGAUCCUUUCAACUCCGGAAAUUUUCAGAAGGAUUCGAAAAAUAUCGAGCAAUAAUGAAAACUAUUUAGCUAUAUUUUCUUUUGGUUAACUAUAUUUUCUUUUGGUUGCAGAAUGUGGAUCACAACAUGAACCAUAAGAUUACGCAAAUCUAGAGUUUAUAAGCAACAACAUACAGCUUAUUACAUGGAAUGUGAGUUUAGAACCAACAAUCUGCAACUUCUCCUCUCCAUGCUACAUUUUCUAUAUUGAGCACUUUUUGUGUUUCUCAACCCAAACACACACACACACACACACACGCAAGGGCAAAAGAAAAAAGGUUGGUACGUCUGGUAGGUAUACACCUCCUCAUUAAAUGCAAUUACUCACCUCAUUACAAAGCCUGGGAUUCGUCCUUAGCACUAUAUAUACUGCUAAUAAUAUGAUUAACAUCUGUAAGUGAAUGAGAAAAACAUCUCAUAAAUAUCUCACUCUCUUUCCUUUUCCUAAAUCGUGCUUAUUCUCAUAGAGUCUUCAUUAUUUUGACUCCAAGCCUUUGAUUUGACGAAAGAAUUAACCAGGUUCAACCAGUGUCUCUACUGGAGGCAAGCCUGAUGAGGAUACUGACGCUGGACUGCAAGAAAAUGCUCCAGCUGAAUCCUAUUCACUAGCAAAUUAUCUGCCAUAACAGAGACAGCAAAGCUGCUAGAUGUUUGGCCAAACAUCCUUCCAAUUUAUUUUAUUUUGUAAGUGCUUCCACUUUGAGGGUAUAUAAAUUAAUAAACCCCCUUAUUGUGGUUUGCAUAUUUUCAAAAUGGAAGCAGAUAUUUUGGUUGUAAACGGCUGACUGGGAUAUAAACCUUCUAGCUAGUAAUGAUACGAUAUUCCUCUCUAGUUUUUGACUAAAGCGUGCUUAACUGGGUAUGAUAUCUAUCUGGCUUGGAACUUUUCACUUAUCUUGAACAAUCGAGUCAUUAACGUUCUCUUCCUACCCAAGCAUAUAAUUUUGAGUCUUUGACGAACUUACACACAGAAAUGUCCAACAUCCCUAUAAUAUUAGGCUACAUGACAAUGAUGUUGGCUAAUACUUGUAUGCUGUAGCCAUCUUUUGGCUUCUUUUUACAAGUAUCAUGAUCCAACCUUGAAAAUAAAACUGUAUAUGCCGAUAAAAUUAAGUGACAUUGAAAUCCAAAACUGUAAUGCAAAUAAAGCUACACGACUGACUUUUGCUAUCAACUGACUAUAUCUACUUGCCAUAUCGCCCCUAUGAGAUGAGAUGUAUGCCUUACUCGGCCGCACCUAAAAAUCGAAGUGUAUCCCUGCAAGACUCAGAAAUGAUGCAAUAUGUGUACGGUCUACAGACAGAUUAAGGAACGCAAAAAGUCCAAUAAACAUAUUAUAGAAAAUAUUGGAUUGUAUUCUUUCCUUGAUACAGCUCACCACCAGCUGGUAUAGACAGGGAAAACCAUUUAUUACACGCAUGCAUAAUACUUAAAGGAAGUCAAGGAAUGUCUCGCAACAACACAAACAUAAAACAAAGCAGUCGAAACAUGACUGGAUUAAGAAAACAAAGUCUUCUGGAAAAUUCCCUUAGACCAAACUAGGUUUGGUUGCCCGAUAUCCAGGGUUAUUAAUGGUUUCUGCAUGAUAAGCUUCACAGGAAGUGUAUCAUUCUUGGAGCAUCUGCAUCUUCUGGAUUCGCAGCCUCACUGGGAUUACCGCCAUAGUCGCCGGUAGAUGGAAAAAGAGGCGGCGGCUGCUCCAUGUAAAGCUCCACAUGAUGAUCAGCAGCAGUAGUGCAGCCUCUGCCCUGACUGAACACCGAUGGCUCUGGUCCAGCUAGGUUCAGCUCAUGGCGAGGAACCCAAUAUGGUCCUCCUCUACUGGCUAACACAACCUCCAUCAAUGGAGAUGGCGGAUUGCCCCCGUGCAAAAUGGGGUACGUCGCCAGACUUGGAUGAAAAUGAGGUCUGCCAACAGAAGGAUAUAUAAUAAAUUUUCUUCAUAAUUAUAUGCUUAAUUAUAUCAAAAUACUAGUUGUAAUUACAGACAUGCAUAUAUUGAUGUACGAACAUUUAGUAGCAGUAUCGGUUAACACUCAACAGUAGGUAUUAAAUACGUGGAAUUCAUUAAAAAAAACAUGGAUUUGAAUGACGGAUCAUGCGAUAACAAGAAAAAGGUUUUGACUCAUUUGGAUAUCGAUCUCGGACAUGCAUUUAGUUAAUCAUGUAACAAGCUGGCAGAAUAUUUAACUUGCUACUAAAAAAAAAAAGAGUAGAACUUACCCAAUGGGGACAAGAGCAGCAGGGGGCCUAUAGUUGACGACAUUGUUGGCAAGGCCAAUUGCAGCAUCAUUAAUAUUGCUUGCAUGGAGAGGGGUGGAGGGUGGUGCCAGCCGUGCUAGUGUCAAGGGGAAAUAGUUAUGCUGGGGGACACCGACGUCGGGGAAACCAACGUUGCUGCUAUUGCCUGCAUGUUCAUGACAUGUUCGAACAAACAUCUUGUUUUUUUUUUUUUAAGGAUUAAUAAAAUGAAAAUAAACCUUUUGUUUUUGCCGAAAGAAGAACUUACCUCCAACUUGGAGUGCCCCUGUUGGCCUGCCAAAUGUAGAAGAAUGAUAUCAAUAGUUCAAUAUAGUAUAUGCUAAGCGAAUUUCAUGUCUCUCUCUAUCAUGGGAAUAAAAUUCCGGGUUAAUUAUAUGUCAAUUUAUUUGCUGGCCCUCCUUGAAAUUAUAUGUCAAUUUAGUGGAGACGCUUAAGUUCAAUUUGGCAUUGAAAUAGUUCAGAUGCAUACAGGCCUAAAAUUUGAAAUAUAUUUUGAAGAAUAAAAAAUGUUAACUUAGAAGUAAUAAGCUUGAAAAGCACUCACCCCCCCCCCCCCCACAACAAAACUCUUCACAAACUAUAUCUAACUUCAACAAGUAACUGUAUCUUAACAUCUCUGAGAAAAAUGAAGAAGGUAUGUAAACGAAGAUUUCAACGUCAAAUGCUUAAUUUUUGAUAGAAAAGGAAAAGGAAAGGAUCAAAAUCUUAAAGGCAGGAAGCUCUUCAGUAAAGUGUUCACCUGUAAACUCGUAAAGGCCAUGCAUCAUCAUUUUCGUCGGGCCCUGGGCAGUGAGGAUGCCCAUGUAGACACUGAAAAAAGCUUUGGUUCUGGUGCUCCUGCUCCUGCUCCUGCUCCUGGUCAUGGAGAAUUCAAGCACUACAGUUAGCAAUCGCUGAAGUAUAAUGCAUAAGAUGUAUGAUUAUUAUCGUCUAGUGAUUGGCAUUUUUUUUUAAGUAUCUAAGCUGGAAAUCUGAACAGCAAAGUUGCUCACAUUCUUUCUUUGUACUAAGGGGUACAGAACCUCUACAUGUCUACUAAAGCAGCAUGGCCAUGCAACUGAAUUACUAGAGUAAAUUUGCCUGGCUUUAAUUAUCUGUAUAAAUUUACUCUGAAUUAACAUAGCAAGAAUUAUUAUAUAUAGUUCUAUUGUUAGCAUAUAUAAACGGAUGUCACAGUAAAAUUGCUCUUAAAUUAUGGCUAUAUCUUCUGUGUUAAUUGCCGAUAACGGCACUGCCAGUCAUCUUCACUGGAUUUGCAACAGCUACCAUUAUCAUUAAACCAUUCUAGUUUGUAGGACAAAGCACAAGCAAUAGUCCAUAUAGGGCUAAACCUAUCUAGUUUUUGCUUCCUAUCUGUCUUGGGUUUCAAAAAAUUUUCCCUUGCAUUCUCCUGGCCUUCGUCUGUACUGCCUGUUCUUACAAGUCACAAGCCUAAUCUAGCGGAUAGCAAAUUAUUUGACGUUAAUUGUACUCUUCACCUUAGUACAACAUGAACUGAAAAAAAGAUUUAAAGACAUAGAAGUGGUAUUACCGCAUCUGCAUUGCUGGUCUCCUCAUCACUCUCUUCAGCAAUGACAUCAAGCAUAGGAUCUUCAUCAAUGGUAUCAAGCCCAGGAGCUUCCAUGCAGUACAACCAAUCGCUGGUUUCCAUCGACCUGCAGUUGGGGCACUGCAUUGCACCCCUGGCGUUAAACUCGCAUCCAAUGCAUGCUGCAAGAGACAAACAAAAAAUUGUUAAGUUAAAACAACAAGUUUAAAUCACUUGCAGGUAGAAAAAAGAAGUAGAAUUAACAAAAAAAAUAAUAAUAAAAGGAGGAAGAGAUUAUGGUAAAAGUUAUGAUGCCACUAACAUGAGAUCAGGAAAAACUAGACAUGUACACAGGACAUUUUUUGUUUGCUCACUCUCUUCUGAGAGGUAUUCAUGGAUUCUCAAACUUAAACGGCUUAUAUAUCACCAGUUCACCACCAGUUUAAGCCGAAAUAUUCUUAUGACUUUGUAAAGAACAAAAGUUGAUACAUAAAAUAUUUUUUUAGAGAUCAAGCAAAAUAAAAUAUUUACAACAGUGUGGACUCGCCAAUUUGCCCAUUGAAUCAAUUGUACGUACUUAUUAUUCCUUUACUUAUUUGGGUAGCUGACACCUGCUAGUUCUAGUAGAAAAGUCACAAUUGUUUGUGGACAUGAAAUUCUGGAUGGGGAAAAAGAUAAUACGGUCUGAUCUUCAACAAAUCAUAAAAGGACUCUUUUUAUUCCCCAACAGAAGAAUCACCAAAACCCUCUUUUAAAUAUGAUGCAGACAAGAAAAGAAAGCAGUACAAGUUUCGAACUCCUAUGUAUGAUAACAUAACAAAACCUACCUUUGAGCUUAAUUCUAAGUGAAAGUACCUAUGACCUAUCCAAGAAUUAUUCUAUACACUAAACUGGAUUUUGUAAUGCCAGUAAAUAAUUGUAAAAGCUACAUGAGGAAUUACUGAUUUAGAUGUAUGUAAGACGGGGCAAAGUUGUCUUCCCCUCUUCUUGCUUUGAUGUGAAUUCAGAUUUAUAUAUGUAAACCAAAAAUUUCGAUCCACUUGUAAGGUAAAUUAUACCAUUUACCAUUGAAGUUUUUUUUUUUUUUUUUUUUGGUUUUAACUAUACACUGGCCGGUAUGCUUAAUCUUGCCCACAAGUUCUUCGAAAAAUCGGAAAUAACCAAUUGAAGUAUUUUUUUUCCACAACAAAAAUUAAUUCAUUAGAUGAAAAAAUGGCACGAAUAUUAUCCGAGGAAUGUGGCUAAGCAUAUGAAAUUCUCUAUCCGGGGAAAAGAUAAUAUAGUCAAUCAGGCAAUAAGUAUUCAUACUAUAUGCCCCGGUAUAGAAAAAUCGUCAAAACCCUUUUUAUCUUUAAGAUGUUAUAAAGUAAAAAUAUAAACCGAUAUACCCUUGGGAUUGAAUAUAAGAGAGUAUCUACCCCCAAGUUCUUUUAAUUGAUGGACUUCAUUAGUUUUUGUUAUAAGUAAUUAAAGAACUGUAAAAAUUGCACCCACAAAUCAGAGAAGAAAAUGGAAUAAAAGAUUUAUAACCAAGUAUAAUGGUGCAAAAUCGUCUCCCCUUAUCUUGCUUUCAUGUAAAUUCAGAUUCAUUUAGGUAGACAGAAUUUCUUGAGAGGUGAUCUAUGCCAUUUGACGUUGUAUUGUCUUUUCCCCCCGCUAGAUAGAACAAGGAUAACCCAUUAAACAAAAAAAAAAAAAUUUUAAAAAAGGUCAUAAACUCAAAUCAGACAGAAAAACACCAAAGAGAAAGGAAGCAUCCGAGAUCAAAGAAUCCUUCUAAGAGAGACAGGUACGAACACUGAAUAUAAAUCAAAGGACAAACAAAAAGAAAAGAUAGAGAGAAAGAGCGAGAUAGCUAUACGUAACUUGUAGGGUGAAAAAACUUAUAAGACCAAGACUUUGGACAAUUCAAUCUCAGGCAAUCACGUACGUAUGGAGAUAAUCAAUAAUCAAGCAAAUGAAAAGAGCAACAUUAAUUAGGAAAUCCACUUAAAACCUACACAAAUGAAAUGAGUGGCCACAUUUCAGCUUAGCAAUGGCUCGGGAGUUGUUGUCGACCACGUCCCCCAAGCAAAUUGAACACUCUCCGAUGAAUGGAGUUUCCUGUGCAGCAGAAGAAACUUGACUUCUGGAAGCCAUAACUCUUAAUCUCACAGGCACUUGUUGCUCCCACUCUACACAGUGUAUCUUAACAGAUAUUAGACCCAAUAAUAUUUGCUUGUAUAUAUAGAGAUUAGCAGGUUCAUGAACUAUUUUAUUCCUUGUCAAGUGUAUCCACCUGGGCUUCGGUGUAGAAUGGCUCCUUGUCAUAAAUGAUUCUGUUAAUAUGGAAAGUAAAUAAUAAUGGUUACCAUAUUUCCAAAAGGCAAAAUCAAAUUACAAUGUACUUUUGAACUAGAGUAACAUUGGCCCUCUAAACUUUUACAUGUAGCAGUUGACCACCAAAACAUCAACUCUAACAUUUGAGACAAAAACUCAUCACCCAUUCUGCCUCUCUCCCUAAUGCCAUGUAUGUUGAGCUUACAAAGGAACAUAUAGUAUAGAAGGCCUUUUUUUCAUUAGUAAAACUCAAGGGGCGAAUGUAACAUUACCCAAAAGAUACAAGAGAAAUAUGAAUUUUCUUAAAGAACUGAUGCACCCCUCUACUCGUUUUAGUUAUUGAUGUACUUUGUUCGGCAUUAUUCAAGUAUAUCCAAGCUGUCACUGAAAUCUUAAUUACCUGUCUUUUUGGGUGCAACCUUGCUCUAGAUUUGAUUUUGCUGACACAGAAAAUAAAUCACUAUUAAACUUGUGGACCAAAACAAUUUAUGAAAACAUAUCUGAGCAUUUAUGCAUGUCAAACAACUUUUAAGCAUAACAACAUAAUGGCGUGCUGCAACAAAUGAAUUAUGAGUAUAUCAAAGCAUACAAUUUUCUUUUAUAAAACGUCAACUUUAGUUAUUUUACUACACUGCUGAAGCAUUUAGUCAAGGGUAUAUGUACGCACAUGUAACUGUGAAACCAAAAUUUUUCAUUAAGGUUAGGAUUUAAUUUGCUCGUGACUAGGGAUAUUUCUGGAGACUUUGCACUCAUAAUGAUGAGUUAUAAAGUAACAUCAAAUUAUUAUAUCUUUAAUUAAUAGUCUAAACCCUAUUUUCUAUAUUACAUGUACAGCGAGAAAUAUAAUCUUGUAACCAUUUAAUUAAGGAUUAAACUCAAUAACGUAUAAGUCAUCGACGACAACUAACCCUAACAAGGUUACACUCGCUCAAAAAUAAGUAAUAUUUGGUAUUUUUGCGAUUCUAAUCUAUACUUUGUAAAAGUGAUGAUUAAGCAAAAACUUUAAUGAUAAUCGAUCUUGCAUCCUAAUAAUUGUAUGUAUUGCAUGGGGAAUACCUAGGAGAAAAUUAAUAAAACCUAAAAUGAGUAUUGUUUUCACUAACUGAACACUUAUUAUCCACUUUUAUUUUCUAAAAAUGUAUACAAUAUAAUAAAUUUCUAAUUAGUAACUGCAGUGAAAGAAACAAUUGAAACCCUAUCUAUGUAAUGAAAGAUAUGACAAACAUAUGAGCAUUUUUUUUUUUAGAUUUUGUAAAGUCAAUGGUAAGGUAUUGAUCUUAUUUGGUUUUAUUUAUGUUUUAUGGAAGUUAAAAGAAGUUUGCUUUUUAUGGCCUAUAGAUAUUAAUAUAACUAAAAAUGCAACAUAACUCAGCUAAUAGAUUUUCUUCAUCAUUUUAUUUGAAUUCUUUCGUCAUUCUUUCUAUUAUAAAAAUAUGUACAUAUAUUUUUCGAAUUCUUAAAAUAAUUUUCUAAACCAUGGACUGCAAUAUCAGCUCCAAUGCAACACUAUAUCGCAAAUUCACCUGUAUCUAAAGCUUAUUAAUUUGCUAGUUUUCUAGCUGUUAAAUACUAUCAGAAGGUUAUAUGUCCAACUCCAUCCAAUUAAAAGCUUUGUAGUUCAUGAACCAUCAGUUUUCAAUGCAUCCUAAUCCAUAGUUUGGUCUUCAUACUUUAAUAGUUAUUCUAACUUGUUGAAUAAAAUAUAUAGCGAAUAAGUUUGCUCAAAUCUGCAAGUGACUAUUUAGGGAUCAGUUAGAUGAUCUAAAAAAUUUUUUGAAACAAAAAUGUUUUACAAAUAUGAUUAUUUCAAUUGAACGUUCGAAAUACCAAAAAAAAAAAAAUUUUGAAUCAACACUCUUGGGCAAAAACUCAUGAGGCAUAAACUUUAAUUACAUCCACUAGAACAAAGAGGAUCCAUAUUUGAAAACAAUUUCUUUUAGUAAUAAAUAGAUUCAAAGGAAACUAUAUGCCUUGAGUAGAGAAUUAAUAACUCACUUCAAAUUACAAUGACAAGGGAAUUAGACCUUUCACUCAACUCAAUGAAUCACUUGGUCCGAGCAGAGCAUUAGAUGCCAUGCCAUGCCAUGCAGAUGUCUAGAUUUCUUUGUGCACUAAUUGUGCUUUAAUCCUUUUCAAUUAGUACUUUUUUGCCAUUUAUUUAUACAUUGUUUUACUUAGGAAUAGUAGCCAGAAAUUAAAAUUUUCUGACAGAACAAUUUCAUCGGUGAUAGAUUUUAGUACAGACUGCAAAAGUUAGGCUGAACUUUUCUGCUCAAAAGAGCAGACCUCAAUUUUGAUAGGCCCAAGUUUCUUACCCAGGACAAUUCCAUUGCUACAGAGUAUAGAGCCCAACCCAAAAUUAAAAAGUCCGUCCUGUCAUUGAGCCCGCGAAUUAAUCCAAAUCUGGAACUCCCGAUUCAUCUGAGACAGAGAAGGAUGAAAUUGUCAAUAAACGAAAAGAUUAUCCUAUUUUCGUAAAUUGAUGUUCUUCUUCUUCCCCCAGAACCCUCGCCCUAUAUAUUGUGGCUGCCCAAGCUUCAGAGGUCCCUCUCUCGCUCAAUCUCUCUCCCUUGUAGCAGUACCCUUUUGUCUGGAGCGAUACGAGAGCUAGGCUUGUCCUCAUCAUCAUCAUGUUGGUCUAUCAGGAUUUACUCACCGGUACACACAAUUUUGACUUUUGUUUUUCUGGUUUUACGAAUGAAUUUGUAGUUCUAUAGAUGUGUGAUCUGAUUGAGUUGCUUUUGCUUUCUGGGCUUGAUUUUUAGUUAUGUAUAACGGGUUUUCGAUAGGGUUUUUGCAAGGUUAAUUUCUAGAUCUGUGUUAGAUUGAAUCUGUAGUUUGCUCUGAGGUGGCCUUUAGUUUUUGAGGGGUUUGAUGGUUAAUUGGAUUCUGAAUUGUUACCAAUGGUUUAAUUUUUCUUUGUUUUUGCUCUUACUGAUUGUUUGUGAUUUGAUUCCUAUUAAAAAUUAAGUCUUUUUUAAAUUUCCGUGUUAAAGAUUAAGUCUUUUUCGCAUGCGCUCGGGAAUUGGUUGAUUACAGAACUUAUCUUUUGGUGCAAAAGGUCAGCGGAAUUGUUUGGUUGUCGCAGUUUUUAGGUGGAUAUACACGUGUUGUUACUAUUGAGAGUGGAUAUCUACCCGGUUUUUGACAUCCCCCUCCCAAAACACCAGUUGGUCUUUCUGCCUAUGAACAUUUUGGAAUGGGUUGGAGAAAGGCUGAUUCUGCUUUGUAACUUGGAUCGGAAGUCUGUGUGAAAUUUCUUUUGUUAUUGAAUUGAUAGAGUGGGACUAAACUUUCUCUUGGAUAUAAAAAGAGAUUUAAAAGAAGGAUUGUGCUCAUUUUAAUUAAUCCGAUUUUGUACUAUUAGCUAUUGCUGAUUAAUGUCCCCUGCUACUUUCUCUUACACCGGCUUUUAAGAGUAUGUUUUGAUUUGUUUUGGUGAAUCUUGUGUUUAACUCUCUUCUUGAUUCACUUCUAUGAUUGUGUAGGUGAUGAGCUUCUCUCGGACUCAUUUCCAUACAAGGAAAUUGAGAACGGGAUCCUCUGGGAAGUUGAGGGAAAGGUGAAAAUUGUUCUCUUUUCUGUUUAACUUGCUUAAUUUUGGAAAAGAUCUGAAUUUCUAUUAUGAUGAUCAUUACUUGUGCAAGCAUUAUGACUUGUCUAUUGUUGGUAUGUUGGCAACCAAUGAGUUUCUUAUUCCAGCAUCUUUUUACCUUACAUAAGAGUAUAAAUGAUUAAGAGUUUUGUAAAGUCUGAUUUACUGCAAAUUUGUAAAUUCCAGUGGGUUGUCCAAGGAGCUGUUGAAGUAGACAUUGGUGCAAACCCUUCUGCUGAAGGUUGUGGAGAGGACGAGGGUGUUGAUGACCAGGCUGUGAAGGUGGUGGACAUAGUUGACACAUUUAGGCUCCAGGUUUUUGUCUGAUUUUACUAUUUGGAUGAGGUUGACUAUUGCAUUUAGGGAAUAUGAAGCUAAUUUAUUACCUUGCAGGAGCAACCUCCUUUUGACAAGAAGCAAUUUGUUGCAUACAUAAAGAAGUAUAUCAAGUUGUUGACGCCAAAGAUAGAUGCAGAGAAGCAAGAGCAUUUUAAGAAGAAUAUUGAGGGCGCAACCAAGUACUUGCUCUCAAAGCUCAGUGACCUCCAAUUGUGAGUGCAACCUCCUUUAAUGCCCCCUCGUUCACUUUCCUUUCUUUUUCUUAUUUUUCUGCCUGUAAUUCUUUGGAAGUAUUUGAUUGUUUGAGCACACUGCAAAUUAGAGUUUUUAUACUAAAUGGUCAAGGUUCACUCAUGUUGACAGUUUUGUGGGGGAGAGCAUGGCCGAUGACAGUACCUUGGUGUUUGCUUACUACAAGGAUGGUGCCACCGAUCCGACUUUCUUGUAUUUUGGCGUUGGCCUGAAGGAGGUCAAGUGCUAGAUAAAAAUAAUGUUGUCUUUGGGCUUUGAGAGGGACUGGUGCUUGCUGUAGUUUUAGUAGUUGUUAUUGCAUUUUUGAUCUGUGUACUUUGCAACUUAUCGAGUUUCCUUGACUAUUAAUGAUUGUUUUUCCUGGAUCAGAGGUAUCUUAUAAUUUACAAAAUUCUCUAAUUAUUCUUGGUAAUGUUACCCGCGCCCAUUAGCGUGUCUUUGUAAAGCUUUUUCUGCCUCCCUUUUAGCUAAUUGGCGUGUUUAGAAAUUAUAAUAUUACUCAGGGAUUGAGUUGAUUGCUCAGGAUUUAUGGUAAGUUCAGAAAAAUCUCAAAGAUUAUAUAUCUCGAGCAUCGGUCGAGUGUAUCUGCAUACUUGUAGAUAUACAUCUAUUUUUAUUUGGCAAAUAUGUCGGCUACACAUUGUAAAGAUCAAACACCUGAUAACCGGUAUAAUGCAGCACUGUGACUAUUAGUCCCAAAAUCUGAGAUCCAGUCUAUGGGAUGCAUUGAAUACAAGUCACAAGACCAUUGGGUUAAUCCUAGGAUGGGCAGGUAAUUUUACGAAGAAAAAGCAAGGUACUUGUAUGAGGGCUUGAGCUCGCUACUAUGUCGAUGAAGAACAGCAAAUGAGACUGCUGCAUCCUAUGUUAAGUGAUGCGCUGAUGGUCAUCUGGGCAGGCAGCCAAAAGCGUGACCCGGAAAACUCGAAACCGCUUUGUCAUAUGAUUGAUCAAGUCUCGAGAGGGAGGGUCCCUGGUGGUGUAUGUUAGGCUUCUUCCUUGGGUGGUGUACUUUAGGCUUCUUCCUUGGGUGGUGAGUUUAACCUCGUAGGAAAGAUGGAAGGCUAUCCAUUACAAUUAGCGUGUCUCUGUAAAGCUCUUUCUGCCUCAUUUUAGUUAAUUUUCAUGUUUAUGGAUUAAGCUUUAUUCAAAUUCUCAGAAAUUAUGGUAAGUGUAAGAAGGAAGAAAAAAAAACUGUAUAUCUUGGAACAGUGAUCGAGUGUGUCGCAUAGGACUAUAAUGUGUCUGCAUACUUGUAAGAUCAAACACCUGAUCACUGGCUACCAAAAGGGUUAAAACAUCCUGAGACUAUUAGUCAUAAAAUCUUAAUCCCAGUCUGAAGGAUGAAUCAAAUCAAAGUUAAAGACCAAUGGGUUAAUCCCAUAGUAGGUUUUUAGUUUUACAAUAUCAUAUAUAAUUAACCCUGUCAGCUAUUAAAAGAAGAAAACAAAUGCUUCUUCCAACAAAAAAUAAAAAUAAAAAAAAGAAGGAAAUACUCUUAUUCUGGCAUGAGCUCACUACUGAUGACUGGAUUGACCAAUUGCUUAAACACUAAACUUGCAGCAUUGAAGAAGAUCAGCGAAUAGAAGAUUACUGUAUCCUUGUAUUCUUUGAUGGUCAUUUAGGGAGUCAGUCAAAAACUUGAUCUGGAAAACUGAAACCUCUUUGCCAUCUGAUUGAUCGAAAAGGAGGGCCUGGGCUUUAGUGGUGUACUUUAGGCUGCUUCACGAUCAUCACAGAGCAGUGAGCAUGGUGGGAGCAGUGAUCGCUGACGCUGCCCAGAACAACCCUGCAGAAUUAACAAGGUUGAGUUCAGGGAUUCAUUGGUACCAUCUUUUAAAGACUUGAAAAUAGGUUCACCUUUUCAAAGCCCCAUAUCCAUGGCUACCGAGAACCAAGAGAGAUGCAUGAUGUUUGUCAACGGCAUCACACAUGACCAUCCUGGCAUCCCCUUCGAUCACUUCAAAUUCUGCAUCUUCCACCUGCAUAGAAAAUUAUGAUUGGCUUAUCGUAAUCAUGCAUCAGGCUCUUAUCAAACUACAGAAACUUUGCACUAUACAAAAAUGAUGCUCAAAAUUUUCAGCUUCCUCACUCCUUUUUCCUUGCAGAGCUCCUUAGCUUGCUCGAUAAGCCUUUCAGCUGUCCUCUUCAGGUCGGCUUCCACAAGUGGUAGCACGUCCGUGGAUCCUACAAGCAAACAAAAUCUUGUUAAUGCAAACAAGAGCAUGCCUUAAUGCCUAAAAGUUUAUUCGAUUGUAUGCAUGAAAAUGAAAAUCUGUCAGAUGAAAGGGUUACACAAUUGACAAGCUUCCUUUUAUCUCUGAAAUUUUAUGAAAAGAAAAGAGGUAAUAUUCAUUUACCAGGUCCUGCAAGUCCAAUGACAGACGUAGGAGGAUAUUUGGCAUGGACAAUAACGAGCUUGAACAGGGCAUUCGAUGUAGGAGUAAAGAAAUGCUCAAGGGUCCACUUAAGAGCAUAAAAGCUAUGCUCACUAUCAUCAAUUGCAAGAAGCAUCACUUGUUUCCCACCCGCCAUUGUUGUUUAUUUGUUGAUUAAUUUGAUGACUUCAAUCAGUCUUCUCGUUGAAUGGAAAAAGUGCUGAGUAUGAUUUAUGAAUGACCUGAUCGCAUCCCAUUUGAUCAUUUAUAUAGGCAUUCUGGGAUCCGCAGGCUGUUAGAUUUGCAACGACGAUGUCCUUUCCCAAUCCGUUGAAUUCGGAUUGAAUGUCGGAAUUUCGCGACGAGUGACGGAGUUCUUAAGGAAACCAAUUUUUUCUCCUGAAGACUUGGUCUCUGUCCAAUGCACGGCAGAUAAACCAGGCAAAGUUUGUUGUACUGUUGUCCUUCAAGUUCCUGGUCAACUAGCUCUUUGGGUUUGUUUUUCCGUUUUAACCAUCUUUUUUUUAAGCAUCAAUGAAAAGAAAGAUGUUGCAUUCAGUUCCUACAAAUUCUGAUGUUUCAAUUUAUUGAACUCUUUUUUUUUUUUUUUUUCUUUAGUGAAAUGUUCCCUGUUUCGUUUCUGGAUUUUCUCUUUUUUACCUCUGUCUUCACAUAACAGAGCAUCUUUAAUGAAAUGUAAUAUACUACUUGCUAUAUUUGCUGCAAGGCCUUGGAGAAUUGUUUGCUAUAUUAAAAUUAAGUUGCAUUUGUUACAAAUCGUCAAAUUGAAUGGAUUUUUUCAAAUUGUUAAACCUGUAUAAAUCGAUUGGAAUUGUCAUCAAACAUAAUAUACACUUUUCCUAUCUAUUUUAUUUAUGCGUUAAUACUUGCUUUUUAUUACAACAAAUUUUUUCCUUUUAUUAACCAGCAAUGCAUUAAGAUGCUCUUUAUAAUAUAUUUACGCAUGACACUUAACUCAUAAACAAUCUUUCAAAUUUUGUUACCUUUAAACACUUUAGAGUGGGUAGACACAGCCAGGCCUUACUAGUAUAUAUAAUAUACGUAUAUCUUCUCACACAAAAUUGGAGAGAAGACCAGAGAGGGCCUUUAUAUUCGUUACGUGUUGGGUUGUGUAAUCAACCCCCCAACCUAUUUAUGUUCACCCUUGUCUUUGUAUAUCUUACUUGGCCUCCAACUUAUUUUGUCAAAAGCAAAAAUUCACUCUUAUUUAUUAAUUUGCAGAAAAUCAUCCUACGUGACCAAAGAAUUUCGCUGCCAUGGCCGCGACCGACGACGAUCUUGAAUCUAAAAGGGUAGUUUUAACAGUUUCAACGACCGUGACUUCAAAUUCGGACGGAGUAUGCAUAUUCCAUUCAAAUAUACUCGGACAAAUUGUUUGGAUUGCAGUUUUCUGUCGAAAAAUUACGUUAUUUUUCGUAAUCAUAUUUCUCUAUUACCUUUUUCCCUCGCAUACAUCAAAUCGUUACGGUAAUUUUUCCAUGAAAAAUCAUGGAAAAUGCAAUCCAUACACAACAAAUUUCUUGUUACUUUGUCGGACAAAAUUUAUUAUUUUCUUCAAUCAGUCCCUUCUUAGUUUCCGCAAUCAAGUUACAAACCAUCUGUAAGUAGAAAUCCUCUCUUCUGCUGGCUUAAUUGUAAUUACCAUUUGAUAUCAUUAGAUGUUUCCAUUUCCAUUAGAUAUAAUCAGAUAUUUCCAAGAAAAUUGGGUUCUAUUCUCAUGUAUUUCAUCUGUAUCCACCGGUAUUCAUUGAUUAAUUAUUCAACGCCAUCAUGAUUGCUUUGUCAACUUGGACUAUGAUAUCCUAAUUUCAGAUUACGCCACAUGCAGAGCCUAAUAACAGAUGCUCACCUUGUGAGAUCCAUCAUAUAUUAUUAUAACCCAAGUUUUGAUCUUAUGAAUAAGCUAAUUAAUAACUGCAAAUAAGGCCAUUAGUGUUAAUAAUAUAUACCAGCACUGCAUCAUUGCUAAUCUUUGGGAAGUUGGUGCAUCAUAGCUUAUAGCGCACAGGGUGGUGGGAGCUAAUUACCAGCUAAAGAGUCUCAGUGGAUGGAUGAAACCAACUUUCAUUCAAAUUGCACUCUUAAUCGUUGAAUCUCAUCAACCCCACCCCACAUACUUUAAGUAAAAGCAAGGCUUUUUUUUUUUUUUUUUUUUUGCAAAAGAAGUGUACGGCAAGCCAUGAUAAGUUAGGUAAUUUAUAUGCACAUCUUUGUAUACUUGGAUUCAAAAGUGCUUAAGGCUCCACGUUUGAAAUACGCAAGUAUGCAUCAUUCUUCUUCUUUGUUGCCCACCUAAUCAAACUCGUCCAAGAAGACUUCUUUUCUUUUUGUCUAAUUGAAGUGGCUAGGUUGAUUUAAAAAGAACAGAAAAUUCUCAGUUAACUUUGAUCCAUGUAAAACUCAUGUACUAAACCUUGCGCAAUGUAGAUUAGAUUAGUUAAGUACAACACAUAAACCGUUAACGUUGACACGAUAAGUUUACAAGAUGCUAUAACAUUUAGUGAAAAGACUUUGGACAUGUAUUAAAGAUAAUGGAAGAAUAGAGCAUAUUGAGGAAUCCCUCAUACUUUCAUAUAUUUUUUUCCACUUAGGGGGUGUUCCAGCCUUUUUUUUUUUUUUUUUGCCAGACUAAUCCCCUUAAACCCAACAGAGCCCUAUCCAAGGAUGUUAGCAAUUUUACCACAGCGAAGGUCGAACACGGGAUCUUACCGUAAAGACGGACUUAUCAGUCCUCGUGGGUGCUCGUACUUUCAUAUUUAGUACAGCUUGAUUUGUGUGUGGAAAUAGCUAUGAUCAAGAUUAUCAAGAUUUUCAAUUCAGAAUUUUCGAAAAGAAAAGGCAAAAAUUAUUUGAACAGCAACAUAGGCAUCAGACUAGCUGCAAAUUGCAUUUCUGCCAAACUUCUCAUAAUAGUUGCAUGUGAUGGAAAUGUAGCACCUCCUGUCCUGCCAACCAACUCAUUGGAUUAGGACGGAGGGCUGCCACUAUUCGGGUGGUUCGCAUUAAUUAACUUCAAUCAACUUGGAAUUAAAUUGACCAUUAAUUUAUACUAGUAUGUACUACUCCUUUGCCAUGAAUGCACACACUAUCACUAUGUAUAGAGAAGAAAAGAAAAAAGAAAAACAAAAGAAUAAAAGAUAGCAAGAAACUGAUUAAGGAUCUUCCUAAAUAUAGAAUAUAGUCUAUCUGAGAGGCCGGCAGUCAAAAGCAUCUUGCAAACCCCUAGCGUCCAUUUCCACCUAAAACAUUUAAAUAAAGGAAACUCCUAGUCCAUAUCAUAUUACAACCUCAGAAUGAGUACAGAGUUGUUCAGAUUUUCUUCCUUGUAAUUAUAUACCAAUUGUCUCCCGAAAACAAGAACUUGGACACGAUUCUGUUGACUAUUACUACAAUCAAAUUUACUAACUUUUGCCUUGUUGAAUCAGCCCUUUUUUUUUUCUAAUCGUGAUUCAUUGUAAAGGGUCCACUCCAUUCCAUUGUAGUACAUCUGCAAGGUUCUUGGAUAAGGAAGCGAAUUAAGAUGACGAAGGUUCUUGGGAUCAGACAUUGCAUUGCCAAGAGAUCAGUGCUUCAGUUGCUUUUACACUAAAAUCCAGAGACCGCCUCACGUGUAUACUAUUCAAGUAAUUAAACAUCAAGAAUUGUUAUAGAUAAGAGAGUUCCACCCAACCAUGCCACCAAACCCCCCCCCCCCCAACCACAAAAACAACCUCCUACAAAACCCAAAAAAGAAAAAAGAAAAAGCGAAAUGGGUUCUAAGUUCCAACUUCUGAGCCGUGCAUAAUGUAUAGGUUUACAUAUUGAGCAGGCUGGCAAGCUUAAGAGCAUGAGUUGUCUGAUAAAACAUAAAUAGGUUCAAGAAAAAGAUAAAGAUCCCAUUAGGUUCUUUAGUUACGAGUCUUGGGUGGAACUCAAUGGCAGAAUUUCGCAUUUAUAACUGUUUUCCUUAUUUAAUUUGCCCAAUUUAUUUACCAGCUCUUUGAGUGGAGUUCACACAUCGAGGUUCUUGUUUGUUCUAUUUUGUGGGGUGGGGCAUUGACGCAUUGUUGAUAAGAAGAAGAUGAAUUUGCAUAUUCGAUUUAUCUAAACAGCAGAAAUGAAAAGUAAACCACCUCUUUUUGCUUUCUGAUUUUAACAUAGUAUAGGGUUAUUUUGUGGUCUUGGCAAGAAGUUAUUUAUUGUCUUCUAGCAUCUUUGUUUAUUUGGACCAUCAAUAUCCAUGGCAUUCAUUAGUGUUUAUGUAUAUAUAAUUUUUUGUCAGAUAAGAACUAUAAAGAGAGACCGGAGGGGGGGGGGGGGUUUCUCAAAAUCAAGAAAUGAUGAUAUUUUUAUGGUGGCAUCCGAAUCAAAUAGAUAUUUGAGCAUUUUUUCAACUAAAACCUGAAAAUAUCAGUCAGCCACAUACUAUAACAUGCUAAUAAGGUUCCAAAGAAAAAAAAAAAAGAAAGAACAGGAGAAUAUCAAAAUUUGAGUAUUUACAGUAGGUACUGGUGGAAUCAAGAAAGCGAUAAAAGUGGGAGUUGAUAUGUUUGAUAAAACUAAAAGUGGACAAAAAAAUGUCAUCACUCUGCCUAGUUACCUUGCCUUGAAAAUAAUGGGACAAGUCAGGUCAAUCAUCCCUGGCUGCUGCAGUGACGACAAGAGAAUCAGACUGCAUGCAAGUUUGAGCUAGCUAAGGGUAAAUUGUCUGCUGCCUCCAACUCCGAGAGUUAUAGAACUAUGCGUAUUGUACACUGUGCCCCAUGCCCAUGCCACAGCUGGUUUGGUCAGAGAUGCAGGAAAAUUACUCAGAUCUGUUUCUGAGAACAAUAAUGCCACAAGGGCACUAAAAUACUCUCUCUAUUUCACUAGCUUAGUUUAACCUACCCAAAAGACAAAAAAAAAGGGGUUUAGUUUAACUUGGUGUUCACAUAAUAGAACUGUAGUAUAAGAUGGGUAUAUUAAAAGGUGGAAACUUUUCUUGGCACAUUAAAAGGGUUUGAUGUCUUUAAAAGGGGGGCUACUGAUGCCUUCAUUUUCCUAUCUUAUUACCAGCUUGUAAUCAGGAAAGUGCUGAGAAUGGAAUGUCCAAUUUUUCUCCAUGACUUUGAUUAUAGUUUUUCUUUAUAGCACAAGCUUCCAAUCAAGGCAGCAUCCCAGAAGCUAUUCAAAACUGGGGAGGCCAUUUUGAAAAAUACAUCACUUGAAGGCAUGCAUAGUGGUUGAGAUUAAUGUCUCAGAAAUUCAAUUUAUUGGACUCAGAAUUUCUCUGAGUUCCUCUCUGCUCUUUAAAUCUAACCCUUUCCGGAGCUUUCAUUUUGUUUUAGUUUGCACCCAUUUUAUAAAAUCUUGCAAAUGGUAAUUUUUAGCUUUAUGGAGAAAAUAAGCAAGCAGGGUAAAGACUAAAGAUGUCAUUUCACAUACUCAAAUAUAGCCGUUUCAGUUUUCCCUUUUUUUUUUAAAAAAAAAAAAAAAAAAUCACCUUCCAAUAAAUACCUCCAACAAACGAGAUAUAUGGGAUUAGAAUAUAGAUUAUAGAUUAUACAGAUAUAAUUUCUCCAUCAGAACUUGCUUGUGUCUCCGGCUUGUGAUAAAAUACUAACCUCAGUUUCUCUCUGUUUCUCAUCCCUCCAAAGCAAUCCCAAAAACACGCACAACACCCACUCAAUUUCAUACACUUCAAAUUCUCUAUAUUUUCUUUACACCAUCAAGUUAGGGUUUUUUGCUCAUUUCUCCCAGAUCUAUUCCCCCAGUUAGCCUGAUUCAUUCCCCCAGAUCGCACAAUUCUCACUCUUCUCCGGCAUCCGGUGAUCUCCCUGUCCCCCGCUUUCGCUCCCUUUUUUUUUUGCGUCAUCUGUUGCGAAAUUUAUGCUUAGAUAUCGAGAUUCAAGAUAAGGUUUUUUAUUUUAAUUUCUGCUACCUAACAUGCAUUGUGGAAUUGAUCAUUUCUAGGGCGGAUUUUAACUCCGAUUAAUCUCAUUUCUGUGAUCACCGGCGAAAUUUCUGAUUUUGAAUUGGAUUUUGGGCGUUUCAAUUCGUUAAUGUGCCGCUUUGAUUCGGACUUUUCACCUCACUGUAAGUAAAAUUUAGCAUUUUAAAAAUUUUCUUCGGUUUUGGCAGAUUUUUAAGUGUUUUUAGGAAUUUAGCGGUGACUUGUAUUACCUUUUUUUUUUUUUGGUGGGAAAGCUUUGGGAAUUAGAUCUUGAAAAUUGGCUCCUCAGCGGCGAUCACAGCGCCACAUGGGUGGCCAGAUGCAGCAGAGCAACGCUGCCGCCACUGCUCUGUAUGAUCACCCCGGCAAUGGGGGCCCCGCCAGCGGUGAUGCUGGAGACGCCGUUAUGGCGCGGUGGCUUCAGUCUGCCGGGUUGCAGCAUCUGGCCUCUCCAUUGGCCUCUACUGGUAUUGAUCAUCGGCUCCUUCCUAACCUUCUCAUGCAGGUGCUUUUCUACCUAUAAUGUCUCUUCAAUUCUCAGCUUUCUAAAUUUCAAGGAAAUGUCUAAAAAGAUUGAACUUUUGUAUCGAACCAAAAGAAAGUGCACUGACUAAUUCUUUUUAGAAUCAGGUGCUUCGAUUGGUAUUAUCUGGGCAUUGAGGUUUUCAUACCUGAAACUUCUACUUAGAUUGAGAGUCUGUUAUUUAUGCUUUCACCUUCGAUCUUUGAAGUUAAAUGAUAUUUGAUAUGAGGACUCGCCAGAUUUUGCUUCAGAAUAUCUUAUUGUGUUUUCAUGAUUUUUUCCCCCUUUUUUUUGGGGGGAGGGGGAGGGGAAGGGAGAGGGAGGGAGAUAGGUCGCUUGAUAUCUUUUGAUGGUUCCUGGGUUUUCGUUAUCCUCGUUUGAUAAAUGGUAACUCGUACAGUUUCUUUCGGAAAUUGCUUUGUGUAAUUGGCUUUAUUUAAGGACAUUUCAUAGAAAUGAAAAAUCAUAUACUUUUGCAUUUUGCAUUUGAUAUGGAAGAAAUCUAAUUAUCAAAAAAAGAAAUAUCAAGUGCCAAAUCUUAUAUUUGCAUGUAUUUAUCCUAUCAGUUUAGCUAUAUUAUAUUAGUUCAUGAAUAACUGUAGAAACUUGAUAUUGUUUAAAAGGGCUAUGGAGCACAAUCUGCAGAAGAGAAACAAAGGCUAUUUAAACUAAUGAGAAACCUGAAUUUUAACGGUGAACCUGGUUCUGAGCCGUACACUCCUACCUCCCAAAGUUUGAGUGGGUUUGCAGCAUCAGAUGGCUUUUAUUCUCCUGAAUUUAGAGGGGAUUUUGGUGCUGGCCUUUUGGACCUACACUCUAUGGAUGAUACAGAGCUCUUAUCUGAGGUUUGAUUCUUAUUUAUCUGGUAUUCCUGAGUUUCGAAUUUGAUACAAUUGGGUGCUUCCUGCUGUACAUUCACUUGUCAAAGGGUUUGGAAUGAUAAUGUGCCAUUUUGGUUAUUUUAAAUUGUUAGUUCCCUUUAUAUGAUUUGGGAUGUUGGGCAUUUAUUUGAUAAGGGAUCUUUAGCAUUUACUCUCAGUUUUAGACAUCUUGUUUUUUCCUCAGUGCAAGUUAUUUCAAUGGAGAUUCUUAUUUGUUGAUCAGGUUUCUACACUAUGGCACAUGAUGACAUAUAUUAGAAUUACAUUCAAAUGAGGAAUUACAACAUGUCAGAUAUGUUUAUGAAAUUCUUUUGUGAAAGAAAAAUUAUGAGAUACGCUUUCACAUGAUUUUGGCUUUUGAGUAUUAGCUUCCUUGUUUAAUUUAGUGGCUAUCUAAAGACAGUUAAAUUUGGCUAUCUAAAGGCAGUUAAAUUUUAUGUGUAGAUUUACUAAAUUGUAAAUGUAGUCAUUUAUAAUCAUCUGGCAUGGUUAUGAAUUCUGACGUUGCUGUGAUGACAUUAUACUGCAGAAUUUGGGUGUGUAGUUGGUUGUUCAUAUCUAUUUGCUGACGGCUAAUACAUACUUAUGGUUGGUAUCUUUGAUUUCCUCUUUCAGCAUGUCAUUUCGGAACCAUUUGAGCCGUCACCUUUCAUGCCAGCUGUGAGUAAAGCAUUUGACAGUGAUUUUGAGGUGAUACCCAGUCAGCUUCAAAAAGGACAAACUGAUGCAGAUGUUCCAUCUGGAUUUCUUGCAAGUGAAAAAGAUAUAAACACAAGAGAAAACAAUGUGGCUAAGAUUAAAGUUGUGGUGCGUUGUUCUUGUUGCAAAACACUCUCCCCAACAUCCCUCUGUGUCUAUGCGUGGAUUUGUGUUUGGGUUUCUUUGUGUAAUUGGUGGGGUACAGAGUAUAUAUUUGGGCUACUGGUUUGUUGAUGGGACAUGGCAUUUAUGUGUGAACAAGAGUGUGAGCUGUCAUUUUGUUUUUGGUUUGGUCUGUAAAUUCAAGACCUGCUAGGAGCUGUGUAAGCCUUCGUAUUGUUGCAAGAGUUGUUGCUUUUGUUCUAUUUUUCUUCUACCAACCAUUUUCUAUGUGGCCUCAGUUUAAGCAUGACAAUGUUGCAUUUGCUGCAGUUCUUCUAUAUGUACACAUGUAUCUUUUAAUGCUUUUUCCAUCAGAAAGUUUAAUUACUAUUUCUUCUUGGGAUGUUGCUAAUGCAAACUUUCUAUGUUCCCAUCUGCUAAGAGAUUGGAAGUAAUAUCUUCAAAUGUGGGUUGCAGUGACAUAUACUUCCUUUUACGCUUCUGUCAUAUGCAAUUGCUGCUCAUGUGUUUAAUCAGAAAAAAGGACACACAUCCAUUUGUUACAAUCCUAAGAGUGUUGUCUACGUAAGUUGGACUGGAUGUCACAUUGAAAAGUUUAUUGUCAUUUCAAUUGUUUGAAAGUUUUGAUUUAGUAUUUGUUGAUCUAUUUUACCUCAUCUUCUGAUGAAGAUAUCCAACAAUCUCAAUACCAUACCAUAAAACUUCUCUUUCUUCCCGAAUUUUUAACUGAAGCAUCCAUAGAACCCUCCAUUUUUUUUUGUGGACACUAAAGAUCCUGUUAUUCCCAUGGAAUUCCCAAUUUGAAGUACAUUCAAACAAAAGGUUGGAAGUUUAUGGAGCUACAACCCCCUCUCUUAUAUUUUUUCUAAUAAAUACUUUUCAUCUACCAUAAGUACAUUGUUUAUGAUGCCUAAUCUUUGGUAGUAUUUCUUAUGAAAUAAGAUAACAUAAAAUUCUUGUACAAUAACAAUUUGCAGCAGAGAUUGAGUUUUAUUGCUGUUUUUAUGUAUACUGAUCUAUUUUGCCACUCUUUGCUGUUCUUGUGACAGGACAUUUCAUCUUAUAUUUUCAUGUUUGUCUUAGGUGCGUAAAAGACCUUUGAACAAGAAGGAAAUUGCUCGUAAAGAAGAUGACAUUGUAACUGUACAUGAGGAUGCUUAUUUGACUGUUCAUGAACCGAAGUUAAAGGUAUAUAUCUCAACCAUUUAAAAAUGAUGGCUUCAUAAUUUUUUACCAUGUCAUAGGAAAUUUAGGAUGAUGAAAGCUGAAUAUAAAAAUCAUGUUUCUUUCAUUUUGCUUUCUAGCCGCAUUAGUUAUGACACUAUCCAUAAUUUUAUUUUGAAGGUUGACUUGACUGCCUACGUUGAGAAGCAUGAGUUUUGUUUUGAUGCUGUUCUGGAUGAGCAUGUGACAAAUGACGAGGUAACACCCUUGAUGUUUGGGUAGCACAAAUUAGCCUUGAAUACUGCAUUGCUCUGAAAUUUCUGUGAAGAGAGUUCCUCUCUCUCUCCCUCUUUUUUUUGGGUUGGAGGGGGGGGGGUUGUAGUAAUUGUGAAUUUGGUUCAUAAAAGAAAAAAAAAAGUCUUUUAUCGUGCCUCUGUGCUGCUGUACUUAGGUGAUUCUCUCUCUCUCUAAUUGUGUGAGUCUUCCUUGGGGGUCAUCUGCGUGUCACUAGUAUGUAUUCUGCAUUUGUAGGCUGGGAAGUAACUGUUUUCAUUUUUGCAUCUUCUGUAAUAUGUCCACUUUUGUUUCUUUGACCCUUGAAGGUUUUAAGCCUUCUUUCUGUCAAUUGGAUCAGGUAUAUCGAGUCACUGUAGAACCAAUUAUUCCUACCAUCUUCCAGCGGACAAAAGCCACAUGUUUUGCAUAUGGCCAGACAGGUACUUUCUGUCUCUUUUGUUGGAUUGUUGGUUAUGAUCUUGUCCAUCGGCAACUUCUUAUGUUAAAAUGGUCUGAAUGACACAUAUUUCCUUACACCACCUCUCCUUAGUCAACUGUUGAGGGUGCAUGAUAGUUAGUUUCCUGUAGUUAUAGUGGUUUUGUGGACCUUUCUCUGAAUCAUUGACUAGUCAUGGGCCUCUGUUCAUUCUAAUCGUGUUAGAUACUACUAAAUUACAUUCUUCUCUCUUUUCCUUUGUGAUUUCUUCAGGGAGUGGCAAGACAUACACAAUGCAGCCAUUACCUCUUAGAGCUGCAGAAGACAUUGUUAGAUUGCUGCAUCAGCCAGUUUAUCGUAAUCAGAGAUUUAAGUUGUGGCUCAGCUUCUUUGAGAUAUAUGGCGGAAAACUUUUUGAUCUUCUCAGUGACAGGAAGUUAGUACUCUCUUUGGCGUUGUUAGGUUUCUUGCUUGAUGCAACAAUCAUGAGAAGUUCUCCAUUUAAGUGCUUGAUAAUGGUGAUGUUUGCUUGUUUUUGGUUACUCAUUUUCUUGUGCAAAUGCAGAAAACUGUGCAUGAGAGAAGAUGGACGACAACAAGUUUGCAUUGUUGGACUACAAGAAUUUGAAGUAUCUGAUGUCCAGAUUGUUAAAGAAUUUAUUGAGAGGGGAAAUGCGGCGAGAAGUACAGGUUCUACUGGUGCCAAUGAGGAAUCGUCGCGGUCACAUGCAAUAUUACAACUUGCUAUCAAAAAGCAUAAUGAGAUUAAAGACUCCAGGAGGAACAAUGACGGAAAUGAAUCCAGGAGCGGGAAGGUUGUUGGGAAGAUUUCUUUCAUUGAUCUUGCUGGUAGCGAGAGAGGUGCUGAUACAACGGACACUGACCGGCAAACACGGUAAUAAUUCCUGAAACUACUUUUGUUUUUUUGCAGAAUAGUGGGAAAUGUGUUUACAAGACUUGUCAUUCAAACCUUCUGCCGCAUGGGCAGGGAGUUGGAUCUCAGCCAUUUCCUCUUGAGUUUGAUCCGAUUUAACAUUCAUUUGGCUUUAUCUUUGACUUACCAAUGAGAAUGCCUUCUUAUUGCCUUGAUUAUGAGUGCCUAAAGUAGUACCUCGUCUUCAGAGAUUAGUUAUUUUUUCUUUGUUAAUUGCUUUCUGGCUAAAUAACGUAUUUUCUUCUCAAAAAAAAGUCUCUUCUUCUCUCUUACUUCUUUUUGAUGCUUCAAACAAAGUGUUUUACUUAGUUGAGCAAUUCUUCUUGUUUGUAUCACGUUAACUCAUUAUGUGCUUAAAAUAAGCUCCACUUUUGCACUCAAACGCUACUUUUAUUCUGUUUAAGGAUUGAAGGAGCAGAAAUUAACAAGAGUCUUUUGGCUCUUAAGGAGUGUAUUCGUGCCUUGGACAAUGACCAGAUCCAUAUUCCUUUUCGUGGGAGCAAACUUACUGAGGUGCUCCGUGACUCCUUUGUCGGCAACUCAAGGACUGUUAUGAUAUCGUGCAUUUCUCCUAAUGCUGGUUCAUGUGAACACACACUCAAUACAUUGAGAUAUGCUGAUAGGUAUCGUCAUCUCUUUGAGAUUUUUUUCCUUUUUUUGUGUGGUGGUGGGUAGGACCAAAUUUGAGUUAUAACAUAACAGUUUACUAUGUCACUAAAGCUCAUCAUAUGAACAGGGUUAAAAGUCUCUCCAAAAGUGGAAAUACAAAAAAGGAUCAGGGUUCAAGUUCAUUACCACCUUCCAGUACUAAGGAAUCCUCAUCAGCACCAUUUUCUUCUUUCUCUGCUGAUGUAGAGGAUUUGGUGGACCAACAUCAGGAAUCUAAAGCAGUGGAUAACAGAAGGGUUGUACAAAAGGAAUUUACUUCUUACAAUUCUUCAAGUGAUGUUGAUAAACAACCUUCUAGUUUUACAUCAAAUUAUACUUCUGGACUGGAGGAAAGUACAGCAACUUCCAGUGCUCCCGACAAGGAGAGGUCUGAUAUGAAAAACAGUCAUGGUGGUUCAAGUCAGAAAAUUAACUUGACAUCAUUUUCCCAAAUUGCAGCUGAUACAGAAGAGAAAGUGCAGAAAGUUUCUCCUCCACGUCGAAAGGUGUAUCCUCAGAUUCCAGUCGAUACAGAAGAGAAAGUGCAGAAAGUGUCUCCUCCCCGUCGGAAAACAUAUAGGGAUGAAAGGCCCGAAAAACUGGGAAAUUGGCCAAGAAAAGAUGCUGCUAAUUUUGAUUCGUCGUCUAGCUAUAAACAACAAAAUGUGAAUAUUGCCGACACAAAUGGUGUUGGGUCUAAGCAAUAUGAGCCUGAGCAACCUCAUGAAGAUAGUAUCAAUGAGAUACUUGAGGUUGGUUUCUGUUGUGUGCUUAAGCAAACUCCUUGUGCAUGUUGAGUAGUUUUUUCUAGUAGAUGCUGAAAUGGUAGUUUCACUGUUUUGAUUGUGAAGGAAGAAGAGGCCCUCAUUGCUGCCCAUAGAAAGGAAAUUGAAGACACAAUGGAGAUUGUUCGUGAAGUAAGUGUACUUUCCAUGCUGCUUCUGACUUAUGCUUGCACCUCGUGGAUUCUUAUAGUGUAAAAUAGUAACUUUACUGAGCGCAUAUGCCAGUUGAAAUGUCUGGGUGUGAAAGAAAGGUUUGAUCUUUGUAGAGAGAUGCUUGUUAGUGCCACUGCUUAUCAGCCUAACUUGUGCUCCUGAUUUCAGGAAAUGAAACUACUCGCGGAGGUGGAUCAACCCGGAAGCCUAAUUGAUAAUUACGUGACACAGUUGAGUUUUGUGCUUUCACGUAAAGCAGCAAGUCUGGUCAGCCUACAGGCUCGUCUUGCCAGAUUCCAACAUCGUCUGAAGGAACAAGAAAUAUUGAGUAGAAAGCGGGUGCAUCGCUAAGGGGUAAAUAUCUUGUAAAUGUCAUGACCCGCAUCUACUUUAUAUCCACUGACUUUUGCAUGUCACAAUUUGGUACAGCUGAAAAGUACUUGUCAAAUAUGUAUCAAUGUGGACAUUUAUGAUUGUCAAGAAUGGCAUCAGCAGUGCAGUUGCAUCAUGCACUUGGAUAAACCACAAGAUCUUCGAAAGUUGCCUAGUGCACUGGUUGCAGAGGACGGAGUGACGUGGUCAUUGCAAUGUUGAGACGUUUAUAGGCUUUGUUGUAACUCAAGUUGUAUAAGCUGAGGCUUAACAUUCAGAAUUGCUGGCUCAAACAAUGAUGCAAGAAAUCAUAUUCGUAGGUGGUGUUGGUUGUAUAGAGAAUGUAUUCCAAAAUGAGUGAUGUCUUCUUUCGUUGGUGGGUUUAUGGGACUUCUUGUUUGAUGAUUGUUGAAAUGAUUUGGAGACGUACGCUUUGUACUGAAAGGGAUAAUCUUCUCAUUUUUCGGGAGUAUACUUCACUCUUUACCCACUUCCAAAUCCUUUAUUUCCCCUCCGUUUAUGUUUACUAAGAGCCUGUUGACAGAAGAAUCUCGUCUCGUUUAUACCCGUAGCGAAAAGAGGGCUUGUGAAGCACUAAAUCUGAUUUGCGAGUUGGAAUACAGGUGUAGACGUAUUUUUUGUUUUAAGCCAUAAAACUCGGUAACGUCCCAAUCCCUGUUUGGAUCCAACCGCACCCAAACAGCUACAGGCGAUCUGUCAGCAGACGGGGGAGGGAAAGGAAAGAUAUGAAUGCGCAAAAAAUCCCUCCGUAAAUGAAUGCAAGUAUACGGGGAAAAACAGACAAGAUUAACAAUAUGGAGACCUGAUCCUGCAGUAUACAUGCCUUCACAUUCUAAGCCAAAAAAAAAAAAUUGGUGCAGACCACUAUAGAAUCAAUCCAAUUUCCUAGUGAAACAAGGGCCCCAGAGAUUACAUCUCCGAUGAAGGUAACCUUUACUCGGCGCACCAAUAAUAGGCAGUCACUCAGAGAAGAUGACCAGCAUCAAAACCACAAGCUCCCAAACAAAACCAUACCAGGAAAAGAAAAAAACCAAAAAAAAAAAAAACUUGAUAGCUGUCCAUUUGCCUCACGUGUGGGGAAAAAGGUUACCAAACUCUUGGGCAAAGAUAAAAUGCCACGUCACUCGUACCAGGAUGUCAAGUGAUGUCAUUUUUUUGUUUUAAUCUGUUCAUUCCUCGUUCUCCAGCAUUUUCAUGCAUAUCCAUGAUCUGUCAAUUAGCAAAUAUACAGCAUCCAGAAUGAUCACUCAGCUUUUGACCUCAAAAUCUCUAAAGCGGUCCUCAGCCUAAAGUAUGGCAUGUGUUCCUACAGGCAAGAAGAAAACACAAGUUAGAAAGAAGAGCCCUUUCAAUCUAAAGCUAAAGCAGCAACUACGACAUUUGGAGAUAUUAAAAGCAGUAAUGAAUAACAUGCUUAAGUCCCUAGUAAACCUCGUCUCCCCCACCCAUACCUCGAUCUUUGACAUACAGAUGCACAGAAUAACGAAAAAGCUUAAUAGACAGAGAAAGCUCAAUAGACAGACAGAUUACAAAUUACCAAACAAUCAAGACAACCUGUUCUGACAUUAACCACUGGGUAAACAUGGCAGCUAAAGGCAUCAACUAAGCUUCAGAAAUUUCCAUGAAAUGCUGUCCAAUCCUACUAAUGUUACAAUAAUACACAACCAAAUCUGCUAAUGGUACAACCGGAAGUAAUAAACACUAUUUUCACUUUGUUUUUUCUUUGGCCCAUGAUAACUCUGUCCUUUCUAGUUAAUUAUCUCACCAAUUCAGUGUCAGCUAACUCUCAUCUGACAUAACAUACACCCCUGAUCCCUUCAUAAACAGACGACAUACAACUAGAGACAUGAAUGCUCCAUGGAAUAAUAUGUUAUGGCUAUCUCAACACCGAACUACGACAGCAUCACAGAGAGAAGAUAUUUAAUACACUGCAGUUUAUAAACAAUCUGCACAUGCCUCCUUCUGAUGUUCUGCAAUUCUAAACUAAAAUCUCCUUCAGAAUCUGAAGUAUCCAACAAAUUCAAAUAAGAAAGAAUGACGAAAUCCUGUAAAGUCAAGCUAAUCGCAGGCUCAAGAAGAUUUAAAAGACAUAAAUAAACCAUAUCUCUCAGGUUGUGCAUUUACCUGAUUAAAACAGAGUCCAAUAUCUCUACUGUAAAAGUCGGCAUAUUUGAUCAUAAACACACCGCAGUCGAAUCUGCUCAUAACACAGACAAAAACCUUUUUUUAUUGAACAAUUCAUAAAGAAAAAUGGAGAAGAAUUCUUAAUUUCGCUUGUACAGUAAUAAUAGAGCUAAAUGAAAUCAAUCUUUUUGCACCAGUGACAAAACAGAGGGACAAUCAUUUAAGCUCAUACCACAUGAGCAAACCACAACAAUUAACAACAGAAAGUGAACAGCAUCCCAAAGGUAAAUGGCAGAAAAGACUAAUCAGGUAUCCUGUGAAAGUGAUGAUGACUGCCAUUUCACACGAUCUAUAUUGCAAUAACAAAAGUCGAAAUUGGGCUAAGAAUGAAGAAGAUGACAAAGAGGAGAUUCACUAACCAAAGACAGGAUAUAGUAGGCGUUUUAACCGCCCACAUUUUAACCUCUAACCUCCCACAUUUUAACCUCAAAUUAUAAUUGGUGCUUAUAAGCAAUUUAACAGAGAGCACACAUAGAUAUGAUGUCAAAUAUCUAUCCAAAUAUCACUAGAUGCACGAGGCAAAUUUAUUUCAUAUACCUGCUGCUAUUGGUGAGGGUGGGAAGGGCCAGAAUUUUGCUAACUUUCAUACACAUAAAGGGCUAUGUAUUAGGCUAUUAGCAGUUUACAAGGAAUGUUUUCCUAGACAUAAGAUAAAUCACUAAAUGAUAUGGAUAUUAGCUUAGAACUAUUUCUCGGGUUGAAACCAUUUUGCAAGCAGAAAUUUGACCAAAAAGAAACUUCAGUACCCAUUCUCCUGUUCUGGAAGGUCCGCAACAAAUUCUUGCUGCCAGGAACUAACAUCAAUCCCUUUGCCACACUUGUCCUUGACUUCAUCUACAAUGUAUCUAGCCUGGAGAUAUAAAUAUAAAAAAACUGGCUUCAUCACCACAUAGCACUAUGAGUUAAACACCAAAACUUUUGUCUUCUUUCUUUAUGUAUCAGGAACAUUCUUUUACUUCUUUAUAAUGAAAGAAAAAAAAAAAUUUAAAUCAAUCAUAGGAACAAUUGAAGAAUUGCAGCUAACAUGUAGACAACAAUAUGGGACAUUUCGUUUUGGAUUUCUUAAACUAGUGAAAGCAAGGCCCAUUAUGACUCUGUUUGAAGACCAUAUAAGUGAGUCAACUCCUCUGACAACUUUAUCAACCCUGUAAUUGAGGACUCAAAGCACUUUAAAAAAAAAAAAAAAAAAAGCUUACCAGUACUUUAAUCACUUGACUAUCAACUCCACCAAGCGAAUCAAGAUACUGAAACUUUUCAUCCUUCUUGUUGAUGACUGCUAAGCACCAAUGGACUUCUUUGUGAAUUGGUACAAAAAUCUGAAUAAUUUAGAAACAUCAUCUAACUUUAAACUAAGCCAAGGGAUCAAAUCCAGCACUCCACAAAAACAACCUAAGGAUCUAAGGAUCCUACCUUAUCACAAUCAAAGAUACAAUAUCCAAGCUUCUUUUGGGAAGUCCAUCUCCGAACCGAUUGAUAGUUAUAUCCACCCUUUCCACUAACUAGCUGCAAUUUCAAAUGUCACCCAAAAAACUGAUUGAGGCAUAGAAGACAAAAAAAGUUCUUAAAUCUAAGGAUAACCUAUCAAAUCACAUCAUAUAUCAAACUCAUGACCUCACAAUUCUUUCAAAUGAAUAAGUUGCAAUUCUACAACAACUUCACGCAAAAAUUUUCCUAGUAAAGCAGAAAGCAUUCUCAAAAAAAAAAAAAAAACUAGAAACCAUCACAAAGUAGGUUUAGUUGAUUGAUUGAAUCCACCUAGAUCUCAGCGAAGCAUGCACCGUAUAUUUAAAAAGCAACAGGAGUCCAAUUUCUAGAAUUUCAUUAACUUGAUUUGACCAACAAAUUGGAAAUCCUUAACAUGCAGAGAAUUUGAGAAUGACAGGGCAUAUGUUACUUAGCAGUCAAUAUUUAACAUCAGCAAGAUUUCCAUCCUUAGUAUUAUAUUCACCUUACAAAAACACAAACAAUUUUUCUUUCAAGCUUAUCCAUCUUUCCACACUUCUAUGCAUGUACUAUGUAAUAGGAAAACUCAUAAUUGCAAUAGAAGUCUUCAUGCCCAGGGCCCCAGGCCUCCAAUGCUUCCCAAAAAGUGUACAGUUUAAGUUCUCCAAUCUCAUAGAUGCUAAAAAAUGCUGGUAAAAAUCUAGAAGACUGAUAUUCAAAUUCCAAACUUAGCCUUUUACUCUAAUUUUCUAUUUUGUAAGUUUUGAAGCAAAUUGCAUGAAAUGUUGACAAAUGGGUACAAUAACACAUUCAAGUCUAAGCCCUAAAAGAACCAAUACAUAUAGAAGUUAUUACAACCAAUCAACCUUUUCUUGCCUAAAUGCGGAAAAGAGAGCUCACUGACCUUUUUGAAAAAGAAAGUGUUAAAGAAAUGGCAAUUCAAGAAUUUUUUAGGCUCCCUUCUCUCCCUUUCUUUUAAAAGCUCAAGAUAUAAAUUGAUAACCUGCAAAAGAAGAAAGCCCAUUUACAGAGGGAAAAACCUUUGUCAAAUGCUUGUGCUAACUCGAUAAGAAGUCUUUUCACCAAGUUCAUGGAAGCUGACAAAAAAGCAAAGUUCACCUCAUCAUUCAACCAUGCACGUGGUCUCAAGCACUGCAAAACUUCUCCUGUUAUACUAAUAUUUGAAUUUUCAUGGGUCACCAAAAGCUUCCUCCUGUACGUAAACCACAGAAUAGAAAUAAAAUGAUAACAGCAGCAUAAAAUGGACCAAUAUGGAGCCAUUUAAAGGCAAACAAAGACAGCAUUGACUCAUACCGACUGGAAUUAGAAAGAGCACGGUUAACCUCAGUCUCUUCUUCCUCAGUAAGAGGCUUAAAAGCUUCUGCUGUCACAUCCUGCAAUCAAAUGCAAGCAAAGUAAGCAAAAAUAAAUAAAUAAAUAUACACAGCAAGAAAAUUCCAUACUUUCAUGGCUCAAAAAGAUUACCUUCUUAGCAGCUUCUUCUUUCUUCUGGGGACGCAAUAACUGUUGUAGCUGCAAUUGCUUCUCAGUAUAUUCAAUCUGAAAAUUCAACGAGUUAAUUUUAUCAUUCCUCCUCUCUGCAACAUAUAACAAUUUCUUGUGCACGCUUUCUUGUGGAACGCCCAACUCCUGACUUAACGACAAAGACGCCAGCAACUUCUAUGCACCCAUUUUAUGACAAGGGAAUCUGCCUCCUCUGGGUUUAAGGCCUUACGCUUGCAAAGAGUUCUGAGUGCCUUUACAUGAGCAUUAACCUGUCAAAGUUUGAAAGCUGCUUAGACAUGUGCCAAAGAUGUCAUACAGCAACCGGAGAAUAAAGAACAUGCAACUCAUUGUUUUCCAAGCCAAGGCAGGUAAGGGAUAAAAAUAAGCAUAUGAACCACAUUUAUGCAGCUUUCUGGCCUUCCAUACAUACUCUUUUUGACAGUGAAUGAAACCUAAUUGAGUGAAAAUGCUCAUGCUUUAUUGUAGUGAAACUAUCGAGAAGAUUAUCAAUAAAUAUCAAAAGUCUUCUUCGGAUGUGCUGUUUAAUUAACCAAGUAAAAUCUCAUGUCUUUUACAACUCUUGAGGCCAUUCAACAGAAAAAUUUAGGACAGGAAAUGCAUUUUAAAGAAUAGAAGACAAUACUGAUGGAAUUGAUAGAACAAAAUACAGUAGUGUUUGAUAGAUACCUCAGUUGAAUGCAUGUUGAACUCCUCAAGUCGCUUGAGAAAGUUAUGAGCUAGAUCAGCAGCAGGUUCAGGAGGCAGCUUCACAGAAACAUUAGAGAUUGUUUGCAAGAGGAAGACACGGUCCCCUGCCCAAGCAACCGAAUUAGGUUCUAUGUCCAUUUCCUCAUUGCCAUCUCUUUUUUCGUGUGGGCUCCUAAGCUCACCAGCAGGUUCAUACUUGUCCACGAGCUGCCAAUGAUGAUGGAGGAAUUCCCACUCCACCUCCUUUGGAAGGAAUGCUGACACCUCUGAUAACAGAAGCCAGGCACCUGGAGGUGCUGUCCACUUCUCGAUUGGCAUAGAAUGACUCAACCACAGGGAUUCAGACGCCCUUAUGAUAUUCUGGAGGGCUGUAGCAAUCUUGGGCUUGAGCCUUUUUUUCUUUCCUAAGCUUGUACAGAUCUUCUUCACCCAAGAAGUCACCUCUGCAUCACAAGUCUCUUUUAGUAUACACAAAACUCCCUCAGGACAUAACAACUCAAUUUCUCUAUCCAAAAUCCUUGACUUUCCAUUUGACUUAUCCGUGAAAGAAUGAUGAUGGGAUGUGGUAUCUGAUGGAACCUUAGAUACUCGAUCAAGAACAAGUUCUGAAAACAGGCUCUCACAUUCUUCUUGGAUGCUAGAUUCAUUGUCAGCUAUUAAAGGUGGAACAGAAUGUAGCCACUCUUUAGUUACGUUUGUAUCACAGAAUAAUCUAAAGGCCUACACAGCAAUACACAUGUCAAGAUAUGAUUGAGGAAUUACAAAUCCAGCUAAUUCAAUGUGCAGUAAAGAAAAUGCAUCUGAAACUAUUAUAGCAUCCAAGGAAGAAAAGGAUUAAUACAGCCAAUAACAACUUGGGAGAAAAGAGUGGCAGAAUAGUUUGCUUUGUAUGAGGCAUGCAGUACCAAUGGUUGCAAAAUGCUUUACCCUGGGGCUUUAUCUUUUAUCAUAUCUCAUUGGAAGGGAAAUCUAAAGAAUAAAUCACAAAAAGGUGCUUUAGGAACUGCAAAAUCAUGCACGUGAAUAUGGAUAACUGAAAAGGCAUUUCAGGCAUGUUAAUAUGACAAAUUGUAUUUGCAAAUCUAGGUAAUAGAGCAAAGUAUGCAAUUGGAUUCUUCCUAGACAACAACUUUAGAUAAGCAAAACAAAUAAAAUAAAGAUCAAUCAAAUAUAUUUUCAAGGUAAGCUAAUGAACCUCUGAAAGAGCUGAUAUUGCUGCUUUCCGUAUACUAACAAGGGGGUCAGAACAAGCCAUGCCCACGAUCUUCAGCAAUUCUCCAUCAAGAGCACCUCUUAAAAGUACUGUUAACUUGGAGAUCAGAAAAAGAGCCGCCUUCCUGACUGCAGCCUUCUCAUCCAUACACCGUUUCAGCAAGAGAUCAUUCAUCCUACAUUUCGUGCUACUCAAGCCCUCAUUCCCAAACCCCAUCACUUCCUUCAACAAUGUCCUGCUCCUAUUAUUCCCAGAGAAAAAUCCUACAACUUGAGCUAAAUUAGUUAAGGCCCUCGCUUUAAUCCCAGCGGUAACAUCUGAGCAACGCUCAAUUAAUGUCUCCAAACAAGUCAAACCCCACAAGUUCUCAACUUUAUCACCUGAAUCCAAUCCCAAGGGGUCUCUCAAUGUCGUCAUCAACAUAAGAAUUAGGUCAACGGACAGAAGCCUAAAUUGACCUUUUCCUUGGCUCAUCUUGACUACAUAAUGUGUAAAUUCAACUUGAUCCUCAAACGCCAAAACUUUAACAAUCUCCAUUAUAGAUUCCACAGCCAAAGCCCUUGGCUCAGCCUUUUCCGGGGCCUUAUGCACCAAGUACUUGGGCAAAUUGACAACUGCUUUCUUAAUCUGACUCGAAUGGUUAGCCAAUCUCAUCAUUCUAUUCACCACAAACUGCAAUCCAAAACUCCUAGCCUGUGAUUUAGGAAGAAACAUCAAAGGUGUCAAACACUUCAAAACUUCAGCUGCAGAAACUGUCUGAUCCGCAUGCUCAGCUUUAAGCACUUCAUUCAAAAUCUGAGAACUCAGCUCGCAUAACUUUUCAUAACUCCCUGAACUCCUACAAACCUCAACUGCCACAACAGGAAUCUCAGCCACUGUCUGAACCAAACUCCUCAAACUAUCCGGAAACCUAUCCAAAUGAACCAAGCCCAACACUAAUUCCAACCUCUCCAGAACACUAAAAAACACCCUCGCCUCAAUAACUCCCUCUUCACCGUCAUUUUCACUCUCUUCCACCAGUUUUCCCUUAUUUUUCCCCACCCCUAGCCUCCCUCCACCGCGCUUUUUUCUACCCCGAUUUUCACCCCCAGGACCGUCAUUAGAAACCAGAGAUGGGUUCUUGAAAGCCCAACGAAUCGACCGCAACAGUGACACAAAAGCCAUGGGAGUGAACAGAGUUAAAACAGGAGAAUUAGGGGAUAAAAGCAAAGAAAGGUAAACAUUUGAGGCUAAAAGGGAAAGAGUACUUCUUGUGGGUCCGGUAGAAUCCAUGAGGGAGGAAAUGGAACUGGUUAAUGAAGUUAAAGAGAGGUUUCUUGAAGAAAUUUCAGCAUAAAAAGAUUCAAGAUCUGUUGAAUCAUUGGUUCUGAGUGUGUAAUCCAGAAGGGUUUGAAGGUCCUUGAGAGAAAUUGCUGAAAGGGGAUUUUGGGCUUCCAGUUCUGCAAGAAUUCUGUUGAUGGAUUCUUCAUCCAUGGUUGAAUUGAUCGACUUUGGGCUCUGGAGAUUGAAGGGUUCUGCUGCUCUAUCUAUUACUGAGGUCCAUGACUCGGUCGUUCUUCAAGAUUGCAACUUUCAUCUUCAUUUCUACGCUGACGGCUUCAAAUUUUUUGGCUUUCCCGCUCUAACAUUGGGAUAAAUACUGCUCUAUACAACAUUAACAACGGCUUUUCGUAGUGUCUAAAGUACUCGAGACAGCGCUCACUUAGAGGCACGGUUUCAAGCUUCUGAGCUGCCUUUUUGUGGUCUCGAAUGUACUCUAGAAAGCGCUUAGUUACCAGCACGGUUUCAAUCUCAGGAGCGGGAGGGACAAGGGAUUUACUAGAGUCUCUUUUUACGGUACUACGCUACUUGCUGCAUGGGCUUAAAAGUUCUACUUGGAUCUAGCUUUUCCGGUGGAAAAAUAAUUUAUACCUGAAAAAUAUUUUGAUGACAAAAUUUCAUAUGCAAAAGUAUUAGAGUAAUUUAUACAGACAAUGUAUACACUAUUAUGAUUAGUUAUAUGAUAUAUCUGUAAAAUUUGAGUUUCAAAUUUAUAUUCGAAUUAUGUGUCGGACAUCCAUUGAUAAAAGUAUAUGCACUGUCAGUAUAUAGAAGAUUAAUAUAAAAUAUUAUACUCCACUUUUGUAAAGUUCCUUUGAAGAAUGAUUUAGGAAAAAAACACUGAUUAUGUAAAACAAAUAGCAUUUCAUGGCAUGCAAGAUUUACAUAUUCCUAGUUUAGGUCAAUUAGAGAGUUGCAAUGUCCAUGGCCUGAUUUCACAGCUAAACAAAUAGCACCACCGUUGAGAAUUGAUCCUUUCAACUCCGGAAAUUUUCAGAAGGAUUCGAAAAAUAUCGAGCAAUAAUGAAAACUAUUUAGCUAUAUUUUCUUUUGGUUAACUAUAUUUUCUUUUGGUUGCAGAAUGUGGAUCACAACAUGAACCAUAAGAUUACACAAAUCUAGAGUUUAUAAUCAACAACAUACAGCUUAUUAUAUGGAAUGUGAGUUUAGAACCAACAAUCUGCAACUUCUUCUCUCCAUGUUACAUUUUCUAUAUUGAGCACUUUUGUGUUUCUCAACUCAAACACACACACACACACACAAGGGCAAAAGGAAAAAGGUUGGUCUGGUAGGUAUACACCUCCUCAUUAAAUGCAAUUACCCACCUCAUUACAAAGCCUGGGAUUCGUCCUUAACACUAUAUAUACUGCUAAUAAUAUGAUUAACAUCUGUAAGUGAAUGAGAAAAACAUCUCAUAAAUAUCUCACUCUCUUUCCUUUUCCUAAAUCGUGCUUAUUCUCAUAGAGUCUUCAUUAUUUUUUACUCCAAGCCUUUGAUUUGACGAAUGAAUUAACCAGGUUCAACCAGUGUCUCUACUGGAGGAAAGCCUGAUGAGGAUACUAACGCUGGACUGCAAGACAAUGCUCCAGCUGAUUCCUAUUCACUAGCAAAUUCUCUGCCAUAACAGAGACAGCAAAGCUGCUAGAUCUUUGGCCAAACAUCCUUCCAAUUUAUUUUAUUCUGUAAUUGCUUCCACUUUAAGGGUAUAUUAAUUAAUAAUCCCCCUUAUUGUGGUUUGCAUAUUUUCAAAAUGGAAGCAGAUAUUUUGGUUGUAAACGGCUGACUGGGAUAUAAACCUUCUAGCUAGUAAUGAUACGAUAUUCCUCCCUAGUUUUUGACCAAAGCGUGCUUAACUAGGUAUGAUAUCUAUCUAGCUCGGAACUUUUCACUUAUCUUGAACAAUCGCAUCAUUAACGUUCUCUUCCUACCCAAGCAUAUAAUUUUGAGUCUUUGACGAACUUACACACAGAAAUGUCCAACAUCCCUAUAAUAUUAGGCUACAUGACAAUGAGGUUGGCUAAUACUUGUAUGCUGUAGCCAUCUUUUGGCUUCUUUUUACAAGUAUCAUGAUCCAACCUUGAAAAUAAAGCUGUACAUGCCGAUAAAAGUGACAUUGAAAUCCAAAACUGUAAUGCAAAUAAAGCUACAUGACUGACUUUUGCUAUCAACUGACUAUAUCUACUUGCCAUAUCGCCCCUAUGAGAUGAGAUAUAUGCCUUACUCGGCCGCACCUAAAAAUCAAAGUAUAUCCCUGCAAGACUCAGAAAUGAUGCAAUAUGUGUACAGUCUACAGACAGAUUAAGGAACGCAAAAAGUCCAAUAAACAUAUUGUAGAAAAUAUUGGAUUGUAUUCUUUCCUUGAUACAGCUCACCACCAGCUGGUAUAGACAAGGAAAACCAUUUAUUACACGCAUGCAUAAUACUUAAAGGAACUCAAGGAAUGUCUCGCAACAACACAAACAUAAAACAAAGCAGUCGAAACAUGACUGGAUUAAGAAAACAAAGUCUUCUGGAAAAUUCCCAUAGACCAAACUAGGUUUGGUUGCCCGAUAUCCAGGGUUAUUAAUGGUUUCUGCAUGAUAAGCUUCACAGGAAGUGUAUCAUUCUUGGAGCAUCUGCAUCUUCUGGAUUCGCAGCCUCACUGGGAUUACCGCCAUAGUCGCCGGUAGAGGGAAAAAGAGGCGGCGGCUGCUCCAUGUUAAGCUCCACAUGAUGAUCAGCAGAAGUAGUGCAGCCUCUGCCCUGACUGAACACCGAUGGCUCUGGUCCAGCUAGGUUCAGCUCAUGGCGAGGAACCCAAUAUGGUCCUCCUCUACUGGCUAACACAACCUCCAUCAAUGGAGAUGGCGGAUUGCCCCCGUGCAAAAUGGGGUACGUCGCCAGACUUGGAUGAAAAUGAGGUCUGCCAACAGAAGGAUCAGACCUUACAAAUAUAUAAUCAAUUUUCUUCAUAAUUAUAUGCUUAAUUAUAUCAAAAUACUAGUUGUAAUUACAGACAUGCAUAUAUUGAUGUACGAAUAUUUAGUAGCAGUAUCGGUUAACACUCAACAGUAGGUAUUAAAUACGUGGAAUUCACUUAAAAAAACAUGGAUUUGAAUGACGGAUCAUCCGAUAACAAGAAAAAGGUUUUUACUCAUUUGGAUAUCGAUCUCGGACAUGCAUUUAGUUAAUCAUGUAACAAGCUGGCAGAAUAUUUAACUUGCUACUAAAAACAAAAAAAGUAGAACUUACCCAAUGGGGACAAGAGCAGCAGGGGGCCUAUAGUUGACGACAUUGUUGGCAAGGCCAAUUGCAGCAUCAUUAAUAUUGCUUGCAUGGAGAGGGGUGGAGGGUGGUGCCAGCCGUGCUAGUGUCAAGGGGAAAUAGUUAUGCUGGUGGACACCGACGUCGGGGAAACCAACGUUGCUGCUAUUGCCUGCAUAUUCAUGACAUGUUCGAACAAACAUCUCGUUUUUUUUUUUUUAAGGAUUAAUAAAAUGAAAAUAAACCUUUUUUUUUUUGCCGAAAGAAGAACUUACCUCCAACUUGGAGUGCCCCUGUUGGCCUGCCAAACGUAGAAGAAUGAUAUCAAUAGUAUAUGCUAAGCGAAUUUCAUGUCUCUAUCUAUCAUGGGAAUAAAAUUCCGGGUUAAUUAUAUGUCAAUUUAUUUGCUUGGCCCUCCUUGAAAUUAUAUGUCAAUUUAGUGGAGACGCUUAGGUUCAAUUUGGCAUUGAAAUAGUUCAGAUGCAUACAGGCCUAAAAUUUGAAAAAUAUUUUGAAGAAUAAAAAAUGUUAACUUAGAAGUAAUAAGCUUGAAAAGCACUCACCCCCCCCCCCCCAAAACAAAACUCUUCACAAACUAUAUCUAACUUCAACAAGUAACAUCUCUGAGAAAAAUGAAGAAGGUAUGUAAACGAAGAUUUCAACGUCAAAUGCUUAAUUUUUGAUAGAAAGGGAAAGGAUCAAAAUCUUAAAGGCAGGAAGCUCUCAAGUAAAGUGUUCACCUGUAAACUCGUAAAGGCCAUGCAUCAUCACCGUCGUCGGGCCCUGGGCAGUGAGGAUGCCCAUGUAGACACUGAAAAAAGUUUUGGUUCUGGUAAUUGUGAUCCUGCUCCUGCUCCUGGUCCUGGUCAUGGAGAAUUCAAGUACCACAGUUAGUAAUCGCUGAAGUAUAAUGCAUAAGAUGUAUGAUUAUUAUCGUCUAGUGAUUGGCAUUUUUUUUUAACUAUCUAAGCGGGAAAUCUGAAUAGCAGAGUUGCUCACAUUCUUUCUUUGUACUAAGGGGUACAGAACCUCUACAUGGCUACUAAAGCAGCAUGGCCAUGCAACUGAAUUACUAGUAAAUUUGUCUGGCUUUAAUUAUCUGUAUAAAUUUACUCUGAAUUAACAUAGCAAGAAUUAUUAUAGUUCUAUUGUUAGCAUAUAUAAACGGAUGUUACAGUAAAAUUGCUCUUAAAUUAUGGCUAGAUCUUCUGUGUUAAUUGCCGAUAACGGCACUGCCAGUCAUCUUCACUGGAUUUGCAAUGUAUAGCAGCUACCAUUAUCAUUAAACCAUUCUAGUUUGCAGGACAAAGCACAAGCAAUAGUCCAUAGGGCGAAACCUAUCUAGUUUUUGCUUUAUAUCUGUCUUGGGUUUCAAAAAAUUUUCCCUUGCAUUCUCCUGGCCUCCGUCUGUACUGCCUAUUCUUACAAGUCACAAGCCUAAUCUAGCGGACAGCAAAUUAUUUGACGUUAAUUGUACUCUUCACCUUAGCACAACAUGAACUGAAAAAAAGAUUUAAAGACAUAUAAAUGGUAUUACCGCAUCUGCAUUGCUGGUCUCCUCAUCACUCUCUUCAGCAAUGACAUCAAGCAUAGGAUCUUCAUCAAUGGUAUCAAGCCCAGGAGCUUCCAUGCUGUACAACCAAUCGCUGGUCUCCAUCGACCUGCAGUUGGGGCAUUGCAUUGCACCCCUGGCGUUAAACUCGCAUCCAAUGCAUGCUGCAAGAGACAAACAAAAAAUUGUUAAAACAACAAGUUUAAAUCACUUGCAGGUAGAAAAAAGAAGUAGAAAUAACAAAAAAUAAAAAAUAAAAGGAGGAAGUUCGAGAUUAUGGUAAAAGUUAUGAUGCCACUAACAUGAGAUCAGGAAAAACUAGACAUGUACAGGACAUUUUUUGUUUGCUCACUCUCUUCUAAGAGGUAUUCAUGGAUUCUCAAACUUAAACGGCUUAUAUAUCACCAGUUUAAGCCGAAACAUUCUUAUGACUUUGUAAAGAGCAAAAGUUGAUAAAUAAAAUAUUUUUUUGGAGAUCAAGCAAAAUAAAUAUUUACAACAGUGUGGACUCGCCAAUUUGCCCAUUGAAUCAAUUGUACUUUUUAUUCCUUUACUUAUUUUGGUAGCUGACACCUGCUAGUUCUAGUAGAAAAGUCACAAUUGUUUGUGGACAUGAAAUUCUGGAUGGGGAAAAAGAUAUAUAAUACGGUCUGAUCUUCAACAAAUCAUAAAAGGACUCUAUUUACUCCCCAACAGAUGAAUCAUCAAAACCCUCUUUUAAAUAUGACGCAGAAAAGAAAAGAAUGCAGUACAAGUUUCGAACUCCUAUGUAUGAUAACAUAACAAAACAUACCUUUGAGCUUAAUUCUAAGUGAAAGUACCUAUCCAAGAAUUAUUCUAUAGACUAAACUAGAUUUUGUAAUGUCAGUAAAUAACUGUAAAAGCUACAUGAGGAAUUACUGAUUUAGAUGUAUGUACGACGGCGCAAAAUUGUCUUCCCCUUUUCUUGCUUUGAUGUAAAUUCAGAUUUAUAUAUGUAAACCAACUUUUUCGAUCCACUUGUAAGGUAAAUUAUACCAUUUACCAUUGAAGUUUAUUUUUUGGUUUUAACUAUACACUGGCCGGUAUGCUUAAUCUUGCCCACAAGUUCUUCGAAAAAUUGGAAAUAACCAAUUGAAGUAUUUUUUUUCCACAACAAAAAUUAAUUCAUUAGAUGAAAAAAUGGCACGAAUAUUAUCCGAGGAAUGUGGCUAAGCAUAUGAAAUUCUCUAUCCGGGGAAAAGAUAAUACAGUCAAUCAGGCAAUAAGUAUUCAUAAUAUAUGCCCCGGUAUAGAAAAAUCGUCAAAACCCUUUUUAUCUUUAAGAUGUUAUAAAGUAAAAAUAUAAAGAAAACACUUUCUAACUCCUAUAUAUAUUCGUGAUAACAUAAACCGAUAUACCCUUGGGAUUGAAUAUAAGAGAGUAUCUACCCCCAAGUUCUUUUAUUUUAUAGACUUCAUUAGUUUUUGUCAUAAGUAAUUAAAGAACUGUAAAAAUUGCACCCACAAAUCAGAGAAGAAAAUGGAAUAAAAGAUUUAUAACCAAGUAUAAUGGUGCAAAAUCGUCUCCCCUUAUCUUGCUUUCAUGUAAAUUCAGAUUCAUUUAGGUAGACGGAAUUUCUGUGUGUACUUGAGAGGUGAUCUAUGCCAUUUGACGUUGUAUUUUUUUUUCCCCCCCGCUAGAACAAGGAUAACCCAUUAAACAAAAAAAAAAUUAAAAAAAAGGUCAUAAACUCAAAUCAGACAGAAAAACACCAAAGAGAAAGGAAGCAUCCGAGAUCAAAGAAUCCUUCUAAGAGAGACAGGUACGAACACUGAAUAUAAAUCAAAGGACAAACAAAAAGAAAAGAUAGAGAGAAAGAGCGAGAUAGCUAUACGUAACUUCUAGGGUGAAAAAACUAAUAAGACCAAGACUUUGGACAAUUCAAUCUCAGGCAAUAUAUCACGUAUGGAGAUAAUCAAUAAUCAAGCAAAUGAAAAGAGCAACAUUAGGAAAUCCACUUAAAACCUACACAAAUGAAAUGUGUGGCCACAUUUCAGCUUAGCAAUGGCUCGGGAGUUAUUGUCGACCACGUCCUCCAAGCAAAUUGAACACUCUCCGAUGAAUGGAGUUUCCUGUGCAGCAGAAGAAACCUGACUUCUGGAACCCAUAACUCUUAAUCUCACAGGCACUUGUUGCUCUCACUCUACACAGUAUAUCUUAACAGAUAUUAGACCCAAUAAUAUUUGCUUGUAUAUAUAGAAGAGAUUAGCAGGUUCAUGAACUAUUUUAUUCGUUGUCAAGUAUAUCCACCUGGGCUUCGGUGUGGAAUGGCUCCUUGUCAUAAAUGAUUCUGUUAAUAUGGAAAGUAAAUAAUAAUGGUUACCAUAUUUCCAAAAAGCAAAAUCAAAUUACAAUGUACUUUUGAACUAGAGUAACAUUGGCCCUCUAAACUUUUACAUGUAACAGUUUGACCACCAAAACAUCAACUCUAACAUUUGAGACAAAAACUCCCCACCUAUUCUGCCUCUCUCCCUAACGCUAUGUAUGUUGAGCUUACAAAGGAACAUAUAGUAUAGAAGGGCGCCCUUUUUUCAUUAGUAAAAACUCAAGGGGCGAAUGUAACAUUACCCAAAAGAUACAAGAGAAAUAUGAAUUUUCUUAAAGAACUGAUGCACCCCUCUACUCGUUUUACUUAUUGAUGAUGUACUUUGUUCGGCAUUAUUCAAGUAUAUCCAAGCUGUCACUGAAAUCUUAAUUACUUGUCUUUUUGGGUGCAACCUUGCUCUAGAUUUGAUUUUGCUGACACAGAAAAUAAAUCACUAUUAAACUUGUGGACCAAAACAAUUUAUGAAAACAUAUCUGAGCAUUUAUGCAUGUCAAACAACUUUUAAGAAGCAUAACAACAUAAUGGCGUGCUGCAACAAAUGAAUUAUGAGUAUAUCAAAGCAUACAAUUUUCUUUUAUAAAACGUCAACUUUAGUUAUUUUACUACACUGCUAAAGCAUUUAGUCAAGGGUAUAUGUAUGCACACGUAACUGUGAAACCAAAAUUUUUCAUAAAGGUUAGGAUUUAAUUUGCUCGUGACUAAGGAUAUUUCUGGAGACAUUGCACUCAUAAUGAUGAGUUAUAAAGUAACAUCAAAUUAUUAUAUCUUUAAUCAAUAGUCUAAACCCUAUUUUCUAUAUUACAUGUACAGCGAGAAAUAUAAUCUUGUAACCAUUUAAUUAAGGAUUAAACGCAAUAACUUAUAAGUCAUCAACGACAACUAACCCUAACAGGGUUACACCCGCUCAAAAAUAAGUGAUAUUUGGUUUUUUUUUGCGAUUCUAAUCUAUACUUUGUAAAAGUGAUGAUUAAGCAAAAACUUUAAUGAUAAUCGAUCUUGGAUCCUAAUAAUUGUAUGUAUUGCAUGGGGAAUACCUAGGAGAGAAUUAAUAAAACCUAAAACGAGUAUUGUUUUUACUAACUGAACACUUAUUAUCCACUUUUAUUUUCUAAAAACGUAUACAAUAUAAUAAAUUUCUAAUUAGUAACUGCAGUGAAAGAAACAAUUGAAACCCUAUCUAUGUAAUGAAAGAUAUGACAAACAUAUGAGCAUUUUUUUUUAGAUUUUGUAAAGUCAAUGGUAAGGUGUUGAUCUUAUUUGGUUUUAUUUAUGUUUUAUGGAACUUAAAAGAAGUUUGCUUUUUAUGGCCUAUAGAUAUUAAUAUAACUAAAAAUGCAACAUAACUCAGCUAAUUGAUUUUCUUCAUCAUUUUAUUUGAAUUCUUCGUCAUUCUUUCUAUUAUAAAAAUAUGUACAUAUUUUUUCGAAUUCUUAAAAGAAUUUUCUAAACCAUGGACUGCAAUAUCAGCUCCAAUGCAACACUAUAUCGCAAAUUCACCUGUAUCUAAAGCUUAUUAAUUUGCUAGUUUUCUAGCUGUUAAAUACUAUCAGAAGGUUAUAAUAUGUCAAACUCCAUCCAAUUAAAAGCUUUGUAGUCCAUGAAUCAUCAGUUUUCAAUGCAUCCUAAUCCAUAGUUUGGUCUUCAUACUUUAAUAGUUAUUCUAACUUGUUGAAUAAAAUAUAUAGCGAAUAAGUUUGCUCAAAUCUGCAAGUGACUAUUUAGGGAUCAGUUAGAUGAUCUAAAAUUUUUUUUGAAACAAAAAUGUGUUACAAAUAUGAUUAUUUCAAUUGAAUGUUCGAAAUACCAAAAAAAAAAAAAUUUUUGAAUCAACACUCUUGCCCAAAAACUCAUGAGGCAUAAACUUUAAUUACAUCCACUAGAACAAAGAGGAUCCAUAUUUGAAAACAAUUUCUUUUAGUAAUAAAUAGCUUCAAAGGAAACUAUAUGCCUUGACUAGAGUAUUAAUAUAUAACUCACUUCAAAUUACAAUGACAAGGGAAUUAGACCUUUCACACAACUCAAUGAAUCACUUGGUCCGAGCAGAGCAGUAGAUGCCAUGCCAUGCCAUGCAGAUGUCUAGAUUUCUUUGUGCACUAAUUGUGCUUUAAUCCUUUCAAUUAGUAUUUUUUUGCCAUUUAUCUAUAUAUUAUUUUACUUAGGAAUAGUAGCCAGAAAUUAAAAAUUUCCAAGAGAACAAUUUCAUCGGUGAUAGAUUUUACGGACUGCAAAAGUUAGGCUGAACUUUUCCGCUCAAAAGAGCAGACCUCAAUUUUGAUAGGCCCAAGUUUCUUACCCAGGACAAUUCCAUUUCUAUAGAGUAUAAAGCCCAACCCAAAAUAAAAAAGUCCGUCUUGUCAUUGAGCCCGCGAAUUAAUCCAAAUCUGGAACUCCUGAGUCCUGAGCCUUAGUAUUCAUCUGAGACUGAGAAGGACGAAAUUGUCAAUAAACGAAAGAUUAUCCUAUUUUUGUAAAUUGAUGUUCUACUUCUUCCCCAGAACCCUCGCCCUAUAUAUUGUGGCUGCCCAAGCUUCAACCUCUCUCCCUUGUAGCAGUAACCUUUUGUCUGGAGCGAUCCGAGAGCUAGGCUUGUCCUCAUCAUCAUCAUGUUGGUCUAUCAGGAUUUAGUCACCGGUACACACACUUUUGACUUUUGUUUUUCUGGUUUUACGAAUGAAUUUGUAGUUCUAUAGAUGUGUGAUCUGAUUGAGUUGCUUUUGCUUUCUGGGCUUGGUUUUUAGUUAUGUAUAACGGGUUUUCGAUAGGGUUUUUGCAAGGUUAAUUUCUAGAUCUGUGUUAGAUUGAAUCUGUAGUUUGCUCUGUGGUGGCCUUUAGUUUUUGAGGGGUUUGAUGGUUAAUUGGAUUCUGAAUUGUUGUUACCAAUGGUUUAAUUUUUCUUUGUUUUUGCUCUUACUGAUUGUUUGUGAUUUGAUUCCUAUUAAAAAUCAAGUCUUUUUUAAAUUUCCGUGUUAAAGAUUAAGUCUCUUUCGCAUGCGCUCGGGAAUUGGAUGAUUACAUUUUCAGAACUUAUGUUUUGGUGCAAAAGGUCAGCGGAAUUGUUUGGUUGUCGCAGUUUUUAGGUGGAUAUACACGUGUUGUUACUAUUGAGAGUGGAUAUCUACCCGGUUUUUGACAUCCUCCCCCCCCCCCCCAAAACACCAGUUGCUCUUUCUGCCUAUGAACAUUUUGGAAUGGGUUGGAGAAGGCUGAUUCUGAUUUGUAACUUGGAUCGGAAGUCUGUGUGAAAUUUCUUUUGUUAUUGCAUUGAUAGAGUGGGACUAAACUUUCUCUUGGAUAUAAAAAGAGAUUUAAAAGAAGGAUUGUGCUCAUUUAAUUAAUCCGAUUUUGUACUAUUAGCUACUGCUGAUUAAUGUCCCCUGCUACUUUCUCUUACACCGGCUUUUAAGAGUAUGUUUUGAUUUGUUUUGGUGAAUCUCGUGUUUAACUCUCUUCUCGAUUCACUUCUAUGAUUGUGUAGGUGAUGAGCUUCUCUCGGACUCGUUUCCAUACAAGGAAAUUGAGAACGGGAUCCUCUGGGAAGUUGAGGGAAAGGUGAAAAUUGUUCUCUUUUCUGUUUAACUUGCUUAAUUUUGGAAAAGAUCUGAAUUUCUAUUAUGAUGAUCAUUACUUGUGCAAGCAUUAUGACUUGUCUAUUGUUCGUAUGUUGGCAACCAAUGAGUUUCUUAUUCCAGCAUCUUUUUACCUUACAUAAGAGUAUAAAUGAUUAAGAGUUUUGUAAAGUCUGAUUUGCUGCAAAUUUGUAAAUUCCAGUGGGUUGUCCAAGGAGCUGUUGAAGUAGACAUUGGUGCAAACCCUUCUGCCGAAGGUUGUGGAGAGGAUGAGGGUGUUGAUGACCAGGCUGUGAAGGUGGUGGACAUUGUUGACACAUUUAGGCUCCAGGUUUUUGUCUGAUUUUACUAUUUGGAUGAGGUUGACUAUUGCGUUUAGGGAAUAUGAAGCUAAUUUAUUACCUUGCAGGAGCAACCUCCUUUUGACAAGAAGCAAUUUGUUGCAUACAUAAAGAAGUAUAUCAAGUUGUUGACGCCAAAGAUAGAUGCAGAGAAGCAAGAGCAUUUUAAGAAGAAUAUUGAGGGCGCAACCAAGUACUUGCUCUCAAAGCUCGGUGACCUCCAAUUGUGAGUGCAACCUCCUUUAAUGCCCCCUCGUUCACUUUUCUUUCUUUUUUUUUUAUUUUUCUGCUUGUAAUUCUUUGGAAGUAUUUGAUUGUUUGAGCACACUGCAAAUUAGAGUUUUUAUACUAAAUGGUCAAGGUUCACUCAUGUUGACAGUUUUGUGGGGGAGAGCAUGGCCGAUGACAGUACCUUGGUGUUUGCUUACUACAAAGAUGGUGCCAUCGAUCCGAC